rnacentral:lncRNA from 1 species
AAGUUGAGGGUAUUUUCGUCAUACUAAAUUAUCUUCUCUACUUCCACUGUAUUAGAGGUGGGUUAUACGUGUCAUCCAGUUCGGUUCAUCCCUUUCAUCAAAAUCCAUUCAUCUGCCAAAUCUCCAAACUUUCUUCAUCUUCCAUUUUUCUCAAAUCCAUUCAACUGCUGCAAUUCUCAGGUACUUCUUAUUUUUUUGGUCUCUUAACCUUCAAUUUUUUCUGGUUGAAUGAAUUUGUAAAGUUUCGUAUUUUUUCCUUUCAAUUCUCUUCAUCUUCAAAUUCAAUUUUGAUCUUUAGGAAGAAUAACAUUUUUUUAGAUUUAGUAGAAUGGGUUUAUUAAAUAAGCAAAGAACAAAAAGAAGAUGGAGUUUCUUAUUUACUCCUAUGCAUUUGACAAUUAAUUCUAUGAGGUUUUGAAGUUUUGGUCUUUAUUAGUUUUACAUCUAUAUAGAAUUACAAAAAGUUUUCGUGUGGGUUGGGGGGGGGGGGUUUAGACCAUUUUCUCUAUAUAGAAUUACAAAAAGUUUUCAUUAUUUUGUUGGUAAAAAUCCGAAAAGCAAUCAAAUUAGUGCAAAUUGAAAAUACAAAUCUGCCAAAAAUUUCAAUACCCGAAUGAAAUAGAUGAAGUGAGCUCAAAGAGCAAUCUUGAAAAUAAGAAUGAAUAUCAAGGAAUUUGUAUGUUUUUCAAUCAAAAGAGAAUUAACUCUGUCGAAAUUUGAGCAAUUAGUGUUAAUUUGAUUGAACCCUAACCCCGAAAAGGGGCAUAUCUGUUGGAGAAUAUAUAUGCACAGCGGAAGCAUACUAGAAUCUUACUAGAAUCUUACUGCUUACAUGAAUAAUAGAUAACCAAAUAGUUUAUGCUAGAACACAUAUAAUACAUUAGAACACAUAAACUUGCUGGAAUUUAAUUUGAUAAAUACCUCUUUAAGCGUGAGUAGAUACCUUCAAACGAAUCUCCAAGUUAGAUAGACUUUCAAGCGAAUCCACAAGAUAGACAACAACUAUGGUCUUCUACAGUGAUCUCAAGUUCACAUCCGAACUCUCUCAAUACUUGGGUGGACAAGUAUCGAAUAGAAAACUAAUUCCAUCUUUUUCUAGGUUAAAUCUCUAUUUAUAGAGAUUUCUUCUCCAAUCCAAAAAGGAGAAGAAAACCCAAUUUUCUUGAAAAACAAGAAAACCCACGCCUACUCCUUUCCCCCCUAAGAAAUAGGAUUCUGAGUUCUAGUUAAAUAUGAGCACCGGAGGGACCACAUACUUAAUUACUUAGGCUUCCUAUUAUGGAAAUAAUUUCAAAUAAUUAAUUUGAAUUAUUCUUACCUUAAUAAAUUACAAGUCAUUCCACUAGAAAUUCGUAAUUGCACUCCUCUAUUUAUAUUUCGUAAUUCCCCAUUAAACACUUAUGUAAUUCCCCAUGUUAAGAUUUCAGAUACUAAUCAAUAAAUUAAAUUACUGAUCAAUUUAACUUAAUGAUUAAUUUCCUUUAGAGCACUACUUAACUUAUUUCAUGUGUCGGAUUCAUAAAUCCACUUACAAGGUUUGACACGAUGAAAACUUAUAAGUUUCUCAAAAAGACAUAUCAAUCAAUCUCNNNNNNNNNNNNNNNNNNNNNNNNNNNNNNNNNNNNNNNNNNNNNNNNNNNNNNNNNNNNNNNNNNNNNNNNNNNNNNNNNNNNNNNNNNNNNNNNNNNNNNNNNNNNNNNNNNNNNNNNNNNNNNNNNNNNNNNNNNNNNNNNNNNNNNNNNNNNNNNNNNNNNNNNNNNNNNNNNNNNNNNNNNNNNNNNNNNNNNNNNNNNNNNNNNNNNNNNNNNNNNNNNNNNNNNNNNNNNNNNNNNNNNNNNNNNNNNNNNNNNNNNNNNNNNNNNNNNNNNNNNNNNNNNNNNNNNNNNNNNNNNNNNNNNNNNNNNNNNNNNNNNNNNNNNNNNNNNNNNNNNNNNNNNNNNNNNNNNNNNNNNNNNNNNNNNNNNNNAUAUCAUCUUAACAGUGACUCUGCAGUCAUAAUGUUCCAAAAAUGAAGAACAAGCAUCCUCUAUAUACACAUGAAUAAAUAGUGCAUGAAGGCCAUGUUCAUAAGUACUCUGAGCAAAAGUACUACUAUAUAUAGUAACAUUAAUCCUCCAAUGUUUAUCUUUAAAUCCAGCUUUUCCAUCCAAUUUUCUAUCCCAUUCUAAUUCAAUUUUCCUUUGCUCUGUCAAUCCACAAAUUUUUUGUAAACUCUCAUCCAUUGAGUCAUGUAGUUUCCACCAUGUCUCGUGCGCGAUAUUGCUAGCAUAAUUUAUAAAUACGUUGAUCACCUAUGUCCCAGUUACAAUUGUAGUCCCUAUAACACACCCAUGGCUUUAACCCGAGAUAAUGCAUAGAGUAUACUUUUGGAGGAUUUGCCCCGAAUAGUUGAUUCUUAACGCCGACCUCAUUCGAAUUAUUUGACCAAAAUUUCUUUAAGAAAUUAACCCUUCUAGGCAACCUAUGCCACCGUACAAAUACUUCAUUAAGGAAACCUUGGUCACCUCCAUUACAUGAAAUGAUCUCUUUUGUACGUUUCAUGAACAUUUUGAAGGUGCAAUUUGAUGGCUCAUUCCGGAAUUGAAGAUUGACGCAUCGUUGCCUUUCAGUGAUCUUCCCAGCUGUUAUACUAGAAGUUGAAGAAGAAUUGGUCGCAACUCAUUUAACAGGUAUCUGAAUUUUAUUUAUUUUACAUUGCUCAAUAGUUGAAUCUUCUAAUUUCUUCAUUAUUUAUAUUGUGGUUUGGGAACUUAUAUAUAGAGUAAAAGAUUAUAGUUUUAAAGUUGUGAUUUAUGCAUGCCAAUGUAUAUAUAUAUAGUAGCUGUCUUACUGUACCUUUAAAUAUUCUUACAUCUUAAAUCAAUACAUAGUGUUUUCCACAACAGAUAUUUUAUUUAUAGCUGUGUAUUUUCUUUCAUUCUUCUCAUUUGUUUUUGCAGAAAAUUUGACUGCUACAUUUGGAUCUUUUUGAAAAGUUAGUUUGAAGAGAGGGCCCAAUACUCUUAUUGAUAUUGUUAUAUAUACUGUACCAAUAUACUCUACAUCAACUACUAAAGACAUUUCUCCUACUUCAACAGAAAGCCUCAAAUGUCACAAAAUUACAACGGUAAUAAUAAAGAUAUAUAGUCAAGAUGAUUGCCGCCAACAUAGUAAUGGAUUACUUUGUCUUUUGCGACGACUUCUGUAAAUCUGUAAAUACAUACAUAGACGCUGAAAUCCAUGUAUUUGCAGUUUUUCUAUGAAACAAACUUCAACUGCUUUACUGAUUUAUCAGAUGUUGCCUAACAAGUAUUCUCAGCUAUUCUCGCCUUACAAGCAUUCUUAACUAUGGUCGUUUCAUAUAUAUUGGGCCCGUGCACGCACAAAUAAAUAUUUAAACAUGUACAAAGUUGAAUAAAUAGACACAAGAAUUCUACGUGACAUAUUUAUGUAUUAUACCUAAUGGUGAGGUGGUUGAUAAUAAUUUCUCAUGUGUGAAAGCAUUUACCGGCCAUUUGUGGUUGUCAUAUAAGUCGUGCCAUGCCGAUUGACGUUUUUAGCCAUUUUACCGAAAGUAAAUUUUAAAAUAUUGUUUUCCUCUUAUUUUAUACUCCUCCAUUCAAAUUUAUGUUAGUUUAAUUAAGCUCGGAGUUUCUUAGAGGUUAAGAAACACAAGAAGAUUUUGCAAUGCUUUAAAAUUAUUUUAAAAAUAUGUAGAUUUUUAAAUAAAAAAGUAAAUAUUGGUGAAAUUGUUUGCCAGAUAAAUGUAAUCCAACAUAUAUAAAAUGUUGAUAGUAUCAUUAAAUAUUUAUCAAAUAAAAAAAAUAUCAUAUAAACUGAGACAAAAAAGUAUAUAGAUUUAAAGCUAUUGUCUUCCUCUUGCUUUAUACUAUCUCUGUUCCUAUUCAUAUGGACUACUUUUUCUUUAAUCAGUCAAUAAAAAACUGACAUUUUAUAUUUAGUAAUAAUUUAAUUUUAAAAUAUUUAUUAUUUUUUAAUGUCAAAGUUAAAUUAUAGUACUAUAUAAAGACGAAAGACAAAUACUAGUACAGUAGAAUCUAGAUGUGAAGCUUAUAUGUUAGAUUUGACAAUAUCUUCUUUUUUUUUGGGUAAUAGGUUUGACAAUAUUGAGGGCAUGUCAAUAUCAAGAGAGCAUGAAUUGGAUCGCCCAAAUUUCCUCCUCAAAUCAAAAUCAUUUAUCAAUUUAACUUUAAAAUGUUCAUUUUACUUUUAAUAGAUGAUUUAUAAUUAUACAAAUUUCUAUAAUUCAUUUUAGUUUAUAAUUUUUUAAAACCUUUUUUUUUUAAUUUAUAAAUCUUGUAUCGAAUCAAACUAAUUCACAUAAAAUAAAAUGAAGAGAGUACUAUUUAUUUCCAACAGAUGUCGUAAGCAGUGUCCUCACCAGAGUCGCUAUAUAUCUUAGCUUUCAUAAUAUCUCUAUUUUUUUCUAUCACAAAAAAUUCAUUUUCGAUACAGAAGGAAUUCCCCGUCUCUCCACACUGAAUUUUUUGCUUAUUGAUCGGGUAAGUUUAUAUCUUCUUAAUGAUAAUUAGUAUACUUUAUUUACAGAUUUACUGUACCAGAUCAAAGAAUUUCAUUGAUCAUAAUAUAUAUGUUAGUUUUUCGAUGAAUUUUAGCUUUAUGCACGAUUUUUACUAUGUGUUUGGUAUGAAGGAACAUGUUUUCUGCUGAAAAAUAAAUUCGUAAAAAAUAUUUUCUUGAAAAAUAAAUGAGGUUCUUACUUAUUUUCUUAGUCAUUGGCAAGUAAAUAAGAAAAUAUUAUCCAAGAAUAUUUAUAUGUUAUCUCGCAUAAUAUAUGGAGGUGUGAUGGGAUGGGAUGGGGAGUGGCAAAGGCGGAGCUAGGUGGGGUUCGUGGGUUCAAACGAACCCAAUAAUAUUUUCGUAGAUCCUAUAUUUGUACUGAAAAAUUAAAUAAAUAUAUAUGUAUAUUAACUUAUGAACCCCAAAUGGUACUAAGGAAGGAUUGUACAAAUGCUUUCCAUGCCACAGUUGUGGGUUUAGCCAGAGUUGUGGGUUCAAACCCACUAUCAACUUUUUAAAUGAAAUUUAGAACUCUCAAACUCCUAAUUUGCCGAGUGGGGGUGGCGGGGUGGAUGAUCAAGGAGAGGGGGGUUGAGGGUAUUGGGCGGCCUGAGAGAAGACAAUAAACUUGGAAUGUUACGUAUGCAACUUGUUUUACUAGAAAAAUAUUUUUCAAACAAAGGAAAAUUGGAAAAUAUUUUCCUCCUUACCAAAACCUAAGAAAAGGUGAUCAAUGACUGUUUAAUUAACUUUCAUCUUUUUCUUAAAUUUCUAGUGUAUGUUAUUAUACAAAGUUACAUAUUUAUUUCACUUUCAAGUACCAGACAAGGGAAAAAGACUGUUUGCAGUAUUCUGUAAUUCCUUUUAUCAACAAUAACAGAAUGUAUGCAUUCUUACAUAGAAUUACAGUUAAAAUUUGAAGUUUAUAGGUUCAGGGAUUUUAGUCCUUUUAAGUUACUGUGUUCUAGAUUAAUAUUAUGUUCAUAUUCAAUGAAUAGUUUUUAAUACUAAUAUAUUAUUUGGAUCAAAGCUACCACUACUAAAAUAAAUCACUAUUUUUCCAUAGAAAUUUUCCACUAAAAAAUGUUCAAUCACAAUUCUCACCGAUUUUUUGAUUGAAUCGAUGAGAAAAGAGAAAUAGUAAUAUGUUCAUGUGGAAAAAUUAGAAAGUUUUCCACUAUUUCAAUGAAAAUUUGUUUCCCACCCUGUAUUUUUCCACCCAGUGAGCUGGUUUGAUGGAAAAUGAGUGGAAAAAAUCAUGUUUUGUAGCAUAAAUUUUCCACUAAUUCACAGUGGGAAAAAUAUUUGUUUGUAGUAGUGUAUUGGUCACAUCCGUAGCCAAAACGCUAGCUCUUCCCCUUAACAGAAACUAAUACUAGACUCUUUUUGCUUAAAUUUAUGGGUUGUUGAUUGGUUGAGGAUACUGUUGUCAACAGAUAUACUUGCAUCAAGUGAAGUUGUAAAGAGAGAAAAGAUGUUAGGCUGUCCAAAUUACCAGUUGCUUUCACUUGUUUUGAUCUUACUGUUAAUAAUGGUUGAUCCAAGUUCACAAGAAAGCCGUGUGAAAUCUGCUGUCUUUCUAUCACCAGCGUUUGUGCUGGAACCUGGAUCUGUCUCUAACAAGUUUUACUACAACAUUGGCUUCCCAAAAGGCCAUAUUGCUAUCAAAAAUUUCGAUGCCGAAGUAGUUGAUGAGGCAGGGAAUGCUGUACCUCUCUACGAGACAUAUCUUCACCACUGGGUUGUUGUAAGAUAUUAUAAUCGAAAAGGUGUGGAAGUAACAAAGUACCGUGAUGAUUUGGGGUUCCACCAAUCAGAUUUAAUUGUCAAGAGAAACUCAGGGAUAUGUGAUGGAGGCCUUUCUCAAUAUUUUGGCCUUGGGUCAGAGACGCGAAAAACAAUCACCUAUGUUCCAGACCCUUAUGGAAUAGAAGUCGGUAAUCCAGUCGAAGUACCUCCUGGAUACGAGGAGAAAUGGUUGCUCAAUUUACAUGCAAUUGAUACACGAGGUGCGGAAGAUAGAUUGGGAUGUACUGAAUGCAGGUGUGAUCUUUAUAAUGUUACCAAGGACGAGCAUGACCGAGUUAUAGAGCCAGAUUACAUUGGAGGGUUGAGAUGUUGUUACGAUGAAACAAGAUGCAGGGUGAAAGACGGAUUCCAAGGAUCAAAGAGAAGCCUGUACCUGAAGUACACAGUGAAGUAUAUUGAUUGGGAUCCCUCCAUCGUGCCUGUAAAAAUUUAUAUACUCGAUAUAACUGAUACAUGGAAAAAGCCAGAAAAAUCGACUGCCGCUGUGGCAAGACAUCACUGCCAGGUGUGAGAGAAAAUGAUAAUUUAGCUCAUAAUUCAAAUCAUUUUUAACUCUUUACUAAUAUUCAGGCAAUUUCUUUUACUUCAGAUUGAAUAUUUAGUGGAGUCAUGUUCAUCAGCUGUUGCAAAUGUCGAUUGCACUCAUACAAAGAAGAUAAUUGUAACUUUUCCUAGCGGCGGAGAUGUUAUCUAUGGAGUUGCUCAUCAACAUACAGGAGGGACUGGUAUGGCACUCCAUGGAGAGGUACUCCGAGCUAUUAUAUUUUGUUUCUUUGGUUAUGCUCUGCUUACAAUCUGGAUUACUUGUAUACGUUUCUUAUAUAUUUUCAGUCGAUUAACUUAUUGAUAAAAACAAAGAUUUUUGUACAAUAAACUUUUUCAUUUAAUGAUACUUGGCUUAGUUGGGUGUCAUCUUAACACUGGUUAUGUAUGCCACGACUUUCAAGACCAGAUUGAUUGAAUCCAUAUCUAAUCUCGUUCUCUUAACAUCCUAUAAAAGAGAAGUGUUGUUAGUGUUUAUUUGACAUGAUUGUCAUACUUCCACAGAUUAUUUUGUUGAUUCAAACUGUUAUGUCCCAGACUGUCAGAAUGGUAUCAUUUCAAUUUAUUUUCAAUUAGCUGCAGAAAGCUUGAUGUUUUUUAUUAUACUGAAUGGAGCCUCCUGCCCGUUGAGACAAUUAAUGGCCGUGUUAUAUUGUCUGCUUAGUUAAUAUAGUGGCCUCUCGAUGAACUGCGUCAUUUUAUAGGUGAUAAUAUUGCUUCUUGAUAGUUAACUGCUUUAGUUUUGUAAGUGCAUAGGUGUAAGUUCAGUACUUGUGUGGGAACUCAGGAAGAUAAGCUGGUGUAUAAGGCCAUGGCUAUCGGGUAGUAAAACAGUCAUAAUAGUUGUUGCGUGUUUGUAUAGCAUAUUAUUCUCAAUUGUCGUCAUGAUUAGCUAAGCAGAUUUACUUGUUCUGAUUUGUGGAGCACCUUGUUUGUUGGUGUUUGGUGUUGGUUAUUUCUUAAUUUCUUCUUCUCUGUUUCCGCUGCUUUGGUCUAGGAUGGACGUGUCAUAUGCUCAUCUCUUCCAAUCUAUGGGGAAGGAAAGGAACCAGGAAAUGAAGCUGGUUACAUUGUCGGGAUGUCUACUUGUUAUCCUAGACCUGGCUCUAUCAAGAUCUCGGAAGGGGAGACUGUAACUUUACUAUCAAACUAUAGCAAUGCCCAAAGGCAUACAGGAGUGAUGGGGUUGUUCUAUCUCUUAGUUGCUGAACCAUCACCGAAGCCUAAUUCUAUCCUACAUUCCACAGAUGAAGUAAGAUCUUUGACUCAUUAAAAGUUUUCGAGAUUCAGAGUAGUGAAUUUCCUACUUGAGUCUACACAAGAUCAUAUAUUUCUGAACUUGUUUCUUCUUCACUAUUGCAGACAGGUGAGAUUGUAAUAUUGCAGAAUGCUAUUGGAGCCUUGGCAGCAGUGUUCGGAAUUGCACUACUUGUUGGUGCUGCUGUUAUUUAUCAACGUCGGAAUCAAAGGGAUCAGGAAGGCUAUGAGUCUAUACUGAUGUGAGGUUCUUUCCCUUCUGGUGACUCUGGUCCCUAGUGUAAUACACAAAAUUCAAGUUCUGAUCUCCCUUCUUUUCGUGGACUAGUUCCUCCACAUGUGUGUUGCACUUGUAUGUCAAGUCAUGAAUUAUACGAUUUUGUAAAAUAAUAAUGAUAUUAUUAAAAUAAAACUUUGAGUAAAUGAUAGUACAAGUAUUUGUGAAUGAUGUAUCUUUGGAUCUUUGUAUAGUGACAUGUUUGUCAUUGUUAAGAAGUUGAAUAGUUAAUUAGCAUUAAUUAGAUAGAUAUUAUCUAGCAAAAAUAUUCUUUUAACUUAUAAGUAGGCUUCUGUUAGGGUUUUGUCCUGAUUUUCUUACCAUAAUUUAAGAUUUAUUUUUCCUUAAAGAAAAGACAAAACAUUACCAUAAAUGUUUUUACUUAUUUGAAAGGAAAAUAUAAUAUUCUUUCAUAUUUGAUUUAUUCUCUCCUUUUAGGACUCCUUUUCUAGUAAGAAAAGGUUUUAGGACUCUAUAAAUAUGUUUGUUUCUUCUAACACAAAAACAAUAACAUCCACAAUGUAGUCGUUUAACAGUCUUGUUUAUGGGGAGAUUUAUUCUCUCUAAAGUUUCAAUGUUUUUCUUUAUAUUAGUUUUGAUAUAAUAAUAUUUUGAUUUUUUAGUAUAAGUUUUUUGUUAUCUGAUUUAUCAACUAUAUGAUUUGUAAAUUGUAAGCUUCCGCAUGACGCCCUAAUCACCCUUCAGAACCCAACAGCUUCCUACUUCUAAAAGUAAAUAAGUUCAAAUUUAAUUUUCAAUCUGAAUAUCUCAAAGGCAAAACAAUUUGGUUAGUUGACAUCUUACUUUUGCAGUGAAAUAGCAAGAAAGAAUUAAUUUAUUUCCAAGAGGUUACUGUUGCCGUGAAAUAACAAAAAAGAAUAAUUUAUUUCAAAGAUGUUACUUUUGCUUUUCUAAGGACAAAACAGAUCUUGAAUUCAGCUAAAAUUAUUGAAUUAGGAUUAAAUAUAAUAAUGUCAGAAACAGAUUUAAGGGAAAAUUACGCAACAAGGCAAAAUGUGAUAUUUAUUUACGAUAAAAUAUUACAAUUCGUAGCUAUAUGUAGGGUUUUAUAUAUUGUAUUCAAAAAACUAUUUUAUAUUUUGUAUCAAUUGUAUUUGUAUUCUGUAUCAAUUGUAUUCAUGAUACAACGAAUAUAAUAUGCAUUUAUCCCCUCUUUCAAAUAUAUUAUGUAUCAAUUAUAUCCAAUCAAAUAUAGGUGAAAGAUUUAUCUUUUAUAUCAGUUGAGAACUACCAUUGUCAUGGGAUUGCUCUUCAUUUAUUUCAUCACAAAAAAACUCCUAAUUUCUCCUACAUUUUUUAGUCUCCACACUGAAUUUUUACUAAUCUGGUAAGUUUGUCUCUUAUUAAUUUCUUUUUCUAAUACAAAAUUAUUUCUAUUCUUCCUAUACAUAAUAAGAAAAUGAGUAUGUAAAAACAAUAAGACUCACUCUUUUGUAUUCAACACGAAAAUAUGGUGUACUAUUUCUUAAUUUCCUAGUAUAUGUUAGUAUUAUACAAAGUUGCAUCUAUUUAUUUGACUUUCAAUUACCACAACAGGGGAAAAUAAUAUUUGCAGUAUCAUAUUAAUGAAUCUUCAGCUAGUUUUUGUUCUUUGUUCAACAAAAAAAAUGCCUAUUAAUUUGCCUCCACCAAACCCCGCCCAUACCCGCUCCAUUGUCAUCCCAAGCCUUGCCCUACCAUGGAUUCAACCCACCCUACCCUGCCCCGUUUAGCUCCUCUACUUUUUUUUUUUUAUCAAGUUUGCAAAGGUAAUUUAGAAAAUAAUCAAAUGUAAUCAAUGAAGCUUUGUUUCUCCUAAGAAAUUAACUAACAUGUUCCUAAUUACAAGAGUAGAACUUCAGGAGAAAAUGAUCGAAAUGGUCCUAAAUGUAUGUGUAAUGCUUUUUUUGGUCCUUAAUGCAUUUCACUUGAUUGGAAUGGUCCUUAAUGUAUAAUAAAUGUGUUCAUUUUAGUCCUUGAUAUAUUUCACUGGAUUGAAAUGAUCCUUAAUGUAUAACAAAAUAUGUUUAUUUUGGUCAUUAACCCUAAACUCAACAAGUUUAUCAAAAAAAUAAUCUUAAAUUUAACUGUGGACCCCACGUGGUGAAUUACUCCCAAGAAAUACUUUAUGAAAUCUAACAUCAUUUUCUCUAUUUUCUCUAACAUGUUUAUUAUUUUCUCUUGCUUAAAAUUGAAAUGGGUAUUAGGUUUUGAAAUAAUAUUAUAGAAAAGAGAAUAUAGUAAAUUUUGUUGGAGAAACUAGAGAAAAUGGUGUCAGAUUUAUGGAAUUCUUUCUUUAUUCUUUCUUUGGAGCUAACAAAAAAGACAAUAAUGGUAAUUUUUGUUAGCCAAGUAGGGUCUAAAAUAAAAUUUAACACUUUUUAUUUAGAUAUAGGGUAAAAGAUCAAAAUGAACCAUUUCAAUAAAAUAAAAUACAUUAAAGAUCAAAAUGAACAUAUUUGUUAUACAUUAAGGACCAUUUCAAUCAAGUGGAAUAUAUUAAGGACCAAAAAUAUAAAGCAUUACCUAUACAGGACCAUUUUGGUCAUUUUCUCAGAAUUUCACACAUGCCUAUUGUUUAGCUUGAUGAACUUGUCAAAUGUAAGAGUUUUAGAGGUCGUUUGGUACAAAGUUUAAUAACGCAUGGAUUAGUAACACAAAGAUUAGUAAUGCAAUGAUUAGUAGUGCAAUGAUUAGGAAUGCAGAGUUUAUUUAUAUCAAGUGUUUGGUUCAUUAUUUCUCACCUCUCUUGUGUUUGGAUUAAAACUCUAUAAAGUUUCUUUCCAAUUAUACCCUUGAAUUAUUAUUAAAUUGGGUCAAGUAAGAUAAUUAUCGGACAAUGCUAUUUUUUAUGGCGUUCUAACUAGCUAUGAGAAGAACAAUUUAGUUGUCAUGUUUGCUAUUUUUUCACUUGAAUUAUUUGAGGAUAAAUAAUUGUUAUCUUAAUAAAUUGAUCACUAAAAAAAUGUCAAUUUCCAAUUUAAAAAAGAUAAUCCAUCUACUUUUAAAAUAUGUUGCAAAUGUCGAUUGCACUCAUACAAAGAAGAUAAGCAUAACUUUUCCUAGUGGAGGAGAUAUCAUCUACGGAGUUGCACAUCAACAUACAGGAGGGACUGGAUGGCACUCCAUGGAGAGGUGCUCUAAGCUAUUAUAUUUUGUUUCUUUGGCUAUGUUUUCUUAUAUAUUUUUAAUUAUUUUUUGUACUUGGAUUUGCUAUAUUUGAGCCGAGAAUCUUUCAGAAACAAUCUCUCUAUCUCCACGAGGUAGUGGUAAGGCCUUCGUACACUCUAUCUUCUCAGACCCCACUUAUGGAGCUACACUGGGUAUGUUGGUGUUCUUGUUGAUGAUACUUGGAUUAUUAGUUGAGUUGCAUCUUAACACUGGAAAUGUAUGCCACAACUUGCAAGACCAGAUUGAUCGAAUCCAUAUCUAAUCUCAUUCUCAUAACAUAAAAAAAGAAGAAGUGUUGUUAGCAUUCAUUUGACACGAUUGUCAUACUUCAGAAGAUGGUGUUGAUUAUUUUCUUAAUUUCUUCUUAUCUGUUUCCGCUGCACUGGUCUAGGAUGGACGUGUCAUAUGCUCAUCUUUUCCAAUCUAUGGAGAAGGUUAGGAAAGGAACCAGGAAAUGAAGUUGGUUACAUUGUGUUGAAGAAGAAUGGGUAUUAUUCUCAUUCAUUGAUGUCCAAGUUGAUCGAAGAAAGAAAGGAAAUAAGUAUUGUCGGAAGAGCCCAUAUGAAUACACAUAUAUUGACAAAUAGCUUGUCUCCAGGCUCCACACGUGGCAACAUUAGAGCGAAUACUUUAUUCAUUGAUGGAUUAAAUCUUAACCAUCUGAUGAAACCCAAACAAAUAGCUAAUGUGGUCACGUAAGGAAAGUAUGCCUAUAGAAAAGAGAAUAUUUUCUGUUAUAGACUAGACCAAUAGUUUAGGAACAACCGUACAAAAUAUAUUUUCUUUCUUAUUUAUUUUCAGCAAAGCACUUGUAAAAAUACAAUCCCUUUGGGAAAUCAAUACACAAUGAAAUUUUAAAAAUCUUCUUUCAAUUUUCUAACAUGGUAUCAAAGCAAUAAGCUCAACCUAAAGAUUUCCUAUCAAUCAACAUGAGUGAUGAGACCCAAAUCAACAUUACCAAUGCUAGAAACACCAUCGACCCUGUCAACACGGGAUCUGGAAACAAAGUUGACAUCAAUCAUCAUUUUCACCUUCAACCUUCAGAUGCACCAGGGCAGACCCUAGUGAAUACCUCAUUUGAUGGAAGAGGUUUUCCUGGAUGUCGAAGAUCUGUCCUCAUAGAUCUCUCAGCUAAGAAUAAGCUGGGUUUUAUCAAUGGAUCCAUCACACCACCAGAUCUGAAUACAUCAAACUACCAACAGUGGAGUCGAUGCAAUCAUAUGGUUACUUUUUGGCUUCUGAAUUCUGUCUCCAAAGAUAUAGAAGGCAAUGCAAUCUGCUCCAAAACAUCUAGAGAUAUGUGGAUGAGUCUUGAGCAUAGGCUUGGGAAAACAAGUGGAGCUAAGUUGUUUCAUCUACAAAAAGAGAUCAUAGGAUCAGUACAAGGUACACUUGAUAUUUCUACAUAUUUUACUAGGCUCAAACGUCUAUGGGAUGAGCUAGAUUCGCUGAAUGCGGAUGUAGUGUGCACUUGUGUUUGUAUAUGUGAAGGGCAAAAAAAAUUAACCAAAUCGCUGCAGGAUCAAAGACUUGUGCAAUUUUUAAUGGGUUUGACUGAUGUGUAUUCCAAUGUUAGGAGUAUCAUACUCAUGUCAAACUAUCUUCCCACACUUGAUUAUACUUGUUAUCUAUUGCUACAAGAUGAGAAUCAAAGGGAAGUGUUUGCUAAUGCUCAUUUUCCUAGUGAGACUGUUUCAGUCAUGGUAGGUAUAACUGCAAGUCCUAUACAGAAGCAAGGGAAACAAGCUCAAAGGAAUGUUUUCCCAUUGCAGAGGCAAAAAGGAAACCAAUUCAGAAAUAAAGGAAGAAAGACAAAAUUUAACCCUGAUGUGACCUGCAAUCACUGCAUUAAGAUAGGGCAUAUAAAAGAAGAUUGUCACAGGUUGAUAGGGUAUCCUGAUGAUUUUUAAUUUACCAACAAUAGAGAAUUUCAGGGAACACCUAAGGGAAACACAACAAUGAUAAGAGAAGUUUUUGAGGAAAGUGACACUACACAAAUUCAGAGUAACUGGAAGGAAGGAGGGCAACAAUUCAACAAGGCGCAAAUAACACAAAUCAAAAACAUGAUGAAGGAAGAAAUGGGACAUGGAACAACUCCUGAAUCAGAAAUUAAUGCUAAUGUUGUUGCUGGUACUAUUCUUAAGUACUCUGGUUCUUGUUUUAAGAUUGUGGACUCGGAGCUUCUGAGCAUAUGUGUUAUGAUUCCAACUCUUUCCUAUUUUUUAACUCCUCUUAUUGUUCCUUUGAGUAUCAGUCUUCCAAACUUUUUAAAAAUAAAUGUCACACACAUAGGUAGUGUUUCUUUUAAAUCUCAACUCACUCUUAAGAAUGUUCUUUAUGUCCCAGAUUUCAAAUAUAAUUUGUUGUUUACUCACAAAUUAUGUUGCCAAUUUCAUUGCACUUCUUAUUUUAAUUCUAGUGGGUGUAUGUUGCAGUCCCCUUUUAUGAAGAGGGCACAAGCUUUUGGUAAAGUGAAGGAAAAAGUUUAUAUGUUUUGGAGCAGAGAAGUGAUCAAUCUAAGAAGUCUUCUAGUGAUAAUAGCUUUUCUUUCAAAAAAACUCAGUCAUGACAGUCCCGUUUCUAGCUCAAAUCUAGAGUCAGUUCCAAUGUAUGCAAAUGCUAUUUCUAAUGCACAACUCUGGCAUUGUAGAUUGGGACAUCUCUCUUUUUCAGUAAUGAAAAGUUUUUGUUUCAUUGAUUUUUCUUCAAAUUCUGAUCAUGUGUGUGAUGUAUGUUCUAAAGUUAAACAAACUAGACUUCAUUUUCCCCUUAGUAGUAUCAAAUGUAAAGGAAUAUUUGAUUUGAUUCACAUUGAUACAUGGGUCCUUACAAGUCCUGUACUCACAAUGGUUAUAAGUACUUCUUGACUAUAGUAGAAGCACUUGGACUUUUCUUUUGACAACUAAAAGUAAUGUCUUCUUUGUUCUCAAAUCCUUCUUAUGUAUGGUGGGCUCAUCAGUCUCUCUUUUGUUCCCUCUCAACACCAGCUUGCCGAUCUUUUCACCAAAGCUCUCUCUGGUGCACCACAUUGUGAUCUACUGUGCAAGUUGGGGGUUUCAUCCACCCCCUCCAACUUGAGGGUGAUGUUGAAGAAGAAUGAGUAUUAUCCUCAUUCAUUGAUGCCCAAGCUGAUCGAAGAAAAAAUGGAAAGAAGUAUUGUCGGAAGAACCUACGUGAAUACACAAAUAUUGACAAAGAGCUUGUCUUCAGUUCCACACGUGGCAGCAUUAGAGAGGAUACUUUAUUCAUUGAUGGAUUAAAUCUUUACCAUCUGAUGAAACCCAAAUAAAUAGCUAAUGUGGUCACGUAAGGAAAGUAUGCCUAUAGAAAGGAUAAUAUUUUCUGUUAUACACUAGACCAAUAGUUUAGGAACAACUGUACAAAAUAUAUUUUCUUCCUUAUUUAUUUUCAGCUAAGCACUUGUAUAAAUACACUCCCUUUGGGAAAUCAAUACACAGUGAAAAUUCUGGAAAUCUUCUUUCAAUUUUCUAACACAUUGUCGGGAUGUCUAGUUGUUAUCCUAGACCUGACUCUAUCAAGAUUUCAGAAGGAGAGACUGUAACUUUACUAUCAAAUAUAGCAAUGCCCAGAGUAUACAUGAGUGAUGGGGUUGUUCUAUCUCUUUGUUGUUGAACCAUCAUCGAAACGUAACUCUAUUCUUAGUGUAUACUUGUUAUGCUGUAAUUUUACUAACUUUAGAAAAAUCACAUUUUGAAAUGUUCUAAGUAUAAAACAAUUUGAAAAACGCCACUUAAUUUUUUUUAAAGAAAUUAAGAAAACUUAAUUUAAAAAGACUCUAACAGAUUAAAUCUUUAUAAAUUUAGAGAAAAUGGGUAAGAGGUUCUUAUUUACGCUUCAAGAAGGUUUUUAAGGCAUUUGAAGCGCCCACUAACAUGCGGUUAUCCUACGACUUGGUUAAAAUAUAUUUGACUAUUUUUUAGGAAAAUGAUUUGACUUACAAACUAAUAAUUUACAAUAUUUGAUUUAACUUUGAAAAAAUAAUUAAAUAAAGGACACAUUUUAUUUUAUUUUUAAGGAAAGGGACCUAAAUUGAAACGUUUGAAUCUAAUUACAAGUGAUUGGAACUUUAACAAAACUAGAUUAAUUAGAAUUUUUUAUUUUUUUGAAUCAUUUUAAAAAAUAAUAAUUUGAACUAAAUUAGUUAAUUUAAGCAUGAAACUAUUUUUAAUUAAUUAAAAAAAAUAAGUUUUGACUAAUGAUGUUAAAUAAAAGUAUGAGAGUUGAUAAAAAAUGAGUUAUAUUAAAAUGUACUAACAUAAAAAAUAUAGUUCAUCUUUUGGGGAAUUUAAUUAAGCUAACCUUAAAAUUAAUUAUCAAAUAAGCAAGUAAGAGUAAGACAAAUUAAUAAAUUCAAAUAGAGAGUGAGGGAGGAAGAUUUGGGCCUUUCUGAUCUUGGGCUUUUGCCCCAUUUCCCUGUCCUAAACUAUUAUAAAGGCUGCCCAAAAAUCAGAUGGGCUUUGGCCCAUCUUCCAAAAAAAAAAAAGCUGCCUGAAUUUUCUUGGGGCUUUUGGGCCCAUUUCUGAUUUUUGUAUACAGACCGUAUACUGUCCGUAUAUCAGUGUAUAUAACUCCAUUUUUAACUAUCGAGACUUGUAUUUUUCGUCUUCGACCUGUAUAUCCGCAGUUUGGAUCUAUAUUUCAGUACCUCAACCUAUAUAUCAGUGUAUAAAUAUUGUAUACAACAUGAUACAACCCAUUUCUUGGGCUUUUAAACAUUUCUAAACUAAUUUCCAGCAGUUUGUUGGGCCUCCGGGAUCUGUAACGGCUUCCAAAUACAUAGGGGGGCUGACUCGAGAAAUAGGGAAAGCAAAGAUCGAGCCUUUAUGGCUCAACUCGGAAAUGUAAGGUAGAUAAGUCCACCAUGGACUCGAAAGGGGGUCCAUACAAGAAACGAAAGAAAGAACAAAAUUAGUAUGUGAGACGAAGAAGCAAAUGAAGCAUAAUUCAAUUGAAGUAAAGAGCAACUCAAGCACUUUAAAAAAAAUGCAACCAAAGCUACCAUAGGACAAAUGAAUACUACUGUAUCAAAGGAAAAAAAAACUCACUCUUCAUCUAUGACUUAACAGUGCAUGAAGGAAAUCAAAGCAUGAUAGGAAGUAAUGUAUUUAACACUAGACUAUCACAAUCUACGCAUAAGGAAAUUUCAAGGCAUAUGUAUACACACACAAGAAUAAAGUUUAUAAGCGAGUGAAAAUGGAUGUAAUAAAAGCAGCUCACAAUAUGGUAAACAAAUAGUUAGUAAUUAACAUAAUUAUGUAUAAAAGAGAGAGGGAGCAGGCUAACGAACAAUCAAACUAUGCAUCUACCAAUAAAUAAAGCCACCUAUCGCAGAGGUAUCAUAAAUCAAAGAUAUGGAGUAAGGUAAUUUUGUUUAUUUGGAAAUAGAAGCCACCAAACAUGACAAUCGAACUGCGAGGAAAAUAACACCAAAGAUUCAAGUUUAAUCAUCCUAAGGACCAAACUCUAGCCAACUAAGAUAUAAGAGACUUAAAUGGGGAUAUACAUACAUGAAAAGAGAGCAAAUUACUACGCUAAGUAUUCCUAAGGAUAUGUAUCGGGACAACGAGAUCAUGAUGAGAUAUUAGAACAUUUUAAGCAAAAUCAAAUCCGAAGCGGGGCGACAUUUGAGUAAAAAAUGAAAAUGGCAUUGUCAAACACUAGAUCUUCCUAUCAUGGCAAAUAAAGACAACCUCAUUCAAGUAUAAUACUUCUAAACACAUAAAGAUUAAGCACAUGCAAGGAAAAUACCUCGAAAUGAACCCACGAUAAUUUUGACAUGCACUAAAAGACUAGAAAAGUUAUAAACCCAUACCGGUUUAAUUAAACUAAAAAAAAAAAACUGAACACAUUUUGCUAAGAAGAGAGUGUACCAUACAAAUUACAUAUAUUGUUAAAUCAAGGCUACUCUCUUUAUUAGAGAUUAACAACACCAAGUAGUGAACAAGAAACAUAGCAAAGCAAAUUCACUACGAAACUUCUGUAAUCAUUUUUGACAAACAGAGAAGCAGUAAAGAUGAACUACAUGGACGACAUAGAUUAGGCAAAUAACAGAUGCUAAAAAAUGGUCCAAGCCAAAGCCAAAAUCUUAUCCCAUGAACUUGAACACACACGGGAUGCUUACAAUCCAUUAAACAACUAACCAAGCAUGUUGGUGGAACAAAAUCUAAUUUGUGAAUACUUAACAGAAAGCUAGUACACCAUUUCAGAAAUGAAUAAGUAAAUGACAUAUCAAGCUCAAAAAGAAGCCGACAUAAUUAAAAUUGAAAACUUCAAAAGAUAAAAAUACGAGAGGAAGAGGAAACUUGAUAAAGGGAAAUAGAUUACCUUUUCGGGGGCAGCGAGACUAGGACAAAUGAGCUGAGAACAACGACUCUUCUACUAUGAAAUCUAUAUACGAACAACACGCUAAGAAACUCCGAGCGUCGAUCUUCUCAGAGCUUAGAAUCAGAAAGCUAGAUAUGGAAUUCUUAAGUGUAAAAUGUCUAUGGCUCAAAAACCAAGCUCAAAACCCGUGUCCUAAUCACUGAGAGUAGGGGGUUAUUUAUAAGGAAAGUUGGGGUGAUUUGGGGGGGGGGAAUCCGUUCAGCAAAAUUCAAAACUUUUGAAUUUCUUUCUUCGUUUCCAAAGGGAACAAUGAAAGAGAUUUGAAGAUCUCUGAAAAUGGGGGAAAGGGAACAACGAUUUGAUCGAUUAGGUUGCUAGGGUUAUGGGUUUGCAAAUGGGUGACGUACGGGUUUUUUUGCAAAGAAGAAAAGGCGUGCGAUUCUGGGUUUCUUUCUUUGACUUUUUCGCGAAGAAAAUGCAGGGGUGGGGUCGGGUUUGGUACUGCUCGCGAUUUUCUGGGUUUGCAGCGUCCUGAUUUGCUUCGCGAGGAAGAAGAAAGGCGCGUGGAUCACGUCGCGUACUGCUGAUGGCAUUGGGUUGGUUUUUGGUACUGCUGUUGUGAGUAUUUGGGAGUUGUUGAUGAAUGUAAUGUGGGCUGCUGAUUUAAAUGGAAGUUGGGCUAAAAAUUGGCCCAAUUUUGGUCUUAAAUUGAUCCACUAAAUGGAGCAAAUAUUGGUUAAAAUUCAAUUUUGAAAAAUAACCAUAUAGAUUACAAAUUCGGCCGAGUGAAGUUAAGGACAUAGUCGAUUUGAAUUAGUUGAGGAAUUCGACUAAGGUCAAAUAAGAUGAAUUAAUAUAAAUUAAUUAAUGAGCUUCUUAAUCUUAACCAGAUAAAAUAAUCAAUUUUAAAAUAUUAACUAUUAAUUAAUUAAACUAAUUGGCAAAAUUUAAAGCAAAACUAAAACCUUUUGAGACGAUUUUCAAAUAAAAAUAUACUAAUUAUAUACAUAACUAUAAAAACAUAUUUAUUAUAUUUAAAAAUUAUAAAAUUGACAAAACUUACAUAAAAAUAAUUCGAAAAAUAUUUCGAAUUUCAUAAAAGCUAAUUAAUUCAAAAGUAUAGCUAUCACUUUAAAACACACUAAAAAUAUAAAAUCUUUUGAGAUGAUUUUCGAAUAUUUAUAGGAUAUACUUAUUUCAUACAUAAUAAUAUAAAACAUAUAUAUUAUUAAAAAUUAUAAAAAGUGAUAGACUAUUUAAAAACUUGCAAAAAUAUUUUUAUUUUAUUUUUUAAAAAUUUAUGAAACUAAUUAUUUUAAAUAAUUUGAAAUUAAAGAGGCUCGAUGAUUAAUCUAUAAUGUAGAGUUCCAGGGUGUCAACAAUACUGAUAUGAGGUUCUCUCCAUUUGGUGACUGUGCUCUCCUGUGUAGUACACAAUGCAAGUUAUGAUCUCUCUUCUUUUUGGACAUGUGUGUUGCACUUGUAUGUCAAUUUACUGAAUUACAUAAUUUUGUCAAUAUUAUUAAAAUAAAACUUUGAGUAAAUGAUGAUAUAUAUUAUGCAUAAGAAUAAAGUACUAAGUGUUUGUGAAUGACAUAUCUUUGGAUCUUUGAAUAGUGACAUGCUUGUCAAUGUUAAGAUGAUGAGAAAUUAUCCGAAUUUACGUAAGGAUGACUCUAGAAAAAACUACAACAUAGUAAGGCACGCAGGAGGAUGAGAAAGAUACACACAUAUAUAUAUAUACACACGCGCGCGCGCGCACACACACACACAUAUAUAUAUUGUGGUUCUUUGCUCUCUAUCUUCGGCCAUGCACCCCAUAUAAGUAGUGUCGCCACAACUUAAGAACAAAGACCACGACCGUCAACUCCAAGUCAUGAGUAAGGUAGUUCUUCUCAUGGGUCUUCAACUGCCUGGAAGUAUAGUCAAUCACUUCCCCUUUUGCAUCAAAACACCACCCAAGUCGACACCUGAAGCAUCACAAUAUACGAUAAAGCCCACACCCUCUUUUGGUAGAGUCAAAACAAGUGCCAAAGUCAACAAGGUCUUGAGGUUUAAAAAGCUCUCAUCACACUCAUCAAACCACUGAAAACCCACACUCUACUAAGUCAAUCUGGUGAGUGGGGUUGCAAUAGUAUAGAAACCCUAUACAAAUUGUAUGUAGUAGCCUACCAACCUAAUAAACUACGAAUCUUAGUCGGAGAACUAGGCAUCGUUCAACCUCUCACCGCCUCAAUCUUGGCUGGAUCCACUCAGUACCCUUAUUGGACACCACACGUCCCAAGAAUGCCGCUGAAUUAAGCUAGAACUCACACUUUGAAAAUUUUGCAUACAACUUCUCCUCUCUCAACCUCUAAAGCACUAUCUUCAAAUGGAAAACAUGAUCCUUCUCAAUGUUGGAGUACACCAAAAUGACAUCUAUGAAUACAAUCGCAAAAGAAUCCAUAUAAGGUUAAAACACCCCGUUCUUCAACUCCAUGAACACUUCAGGAGCAUUAGUCAACCCAAAGGACAUCACCAAGAACCCAUAAUGGCCAUAUCGGGUUCGGAAAGUUGUCUUAGGGACAUCUGAUGCCCUAAUCCUCAACUGAUGGUAACUGGACCUUAAGUCUAUCUUAGAGAACAACCAGACCUCAAGUCUAUCUUAGAGAACAAAGUUGCUCCCUAAAGUUGAUCAAGCAAAUCAUCAAUGCACGGAAGAGGAUACUCGUUCUUCACCAUCACCUUGUUCAGUUGUCUAUAAUCGAGGCACAUUCUCAUAGACCCAUCAUUCUUCUAAACAAACAAGACCGGUGCACCCCAAGGUGACACACUAGGACGAAUGAACCUCUUACUCAAUAAAUCCGACAACUGCUCCUUCAACACUCUUGGGGCCAUGGGAUAAGGAGGAAUAGAGAUAGGCUUAGUGCCUGGCUCCAAAUCAAAAGCAAAAUCAAUGUCCUUAUCAAGAGGAACAUAUGGAAUAUUAGUAGGGAAUACAUCUGGAAACUCCUGAACCACGAGAAUGGACUCCAUGGGAGGUGACUUAACACUAGUAUCCAGGAUAAAAACCAAGUAGGAUAAACACCCUCUAUCCACCAAUCUCUAAGCACGUAGGAAUGAGAUAACCUUGCUAGGGUAAGAACCACUAGCACCUUCCACUCAAUCCUCGGAACACCAAGCAUCACUAAGGUCACAAUCUUAGCAUUACAAUCAAGAAUAACAUACUAAGGAGAGAGUCAAUCCAUACCCAAGAUAAAACUGCCAGUAAUUUAAUCUUCUCGAAUGCCCUUUUCACGAACGUGGUCCUUUAGGCGAUUAACCCACCGCAAACGCGGGAGUUUAUCAACUAAUGCGGAGGAAACACUCCUUAGUCUCCACGAACGUGGUCAAUCCCCACAAAUGCAGAGGACACCAGACAUCAACAACAUUAACAAUUCCCACAAGACACAAAAUUCACAGAAUGAAAGCCUUGGGAUUUGUUUAGAACAACAAAUUAGGUACACUACUCGACUAUAUUAAUGUUUCGGACUCAAUGGAACCACCGAAUCACCGAUUUGAGGUUUUCUUGACUCGAAACCUGUGAAAGUCGCAAUAAACUAACUAAACACUCAAAAAUACCAAACUGCCCUCGAAACCUCCAAAAAAUCAACCAAGACCACAACUAGGUCUAAAUCAUCCUCCGAAUCUAAUGAAAUCUUUGGAAAUCCAAUCUGAGCGUCCGAACUCCGAAUGUUGAUCAAAGUCAACUCAUGGUCCAAAAUCACUUAAAUUUCUAACUCAAAGGCUCAAAUCCACAUAACAACCCUAAAAUAGAGAACAACAACAGUCCUUAACCAAAUUCCACAUUACGGAAUUGAUGGAAUUUCAUUCCGAGGCUUGAAACUCUGGUUGUUACCAAAAAUCACUUUUAACAACUUUGAACAUUCCAAAACUCAAAACUCCCAAAAAUCACAACUUUUCAUUUAAAUAACAAAACCAACUUUGAAAACUGAUCUAAUGUGACUCUGAGCAUUUAUCGGGAGGGCUAAAAUGGUAAUUUUCCAAAAAUUUCCAAAAAUGACUUUCAGGGUCAUUAUAAUUACACAAUAGGACAUGUGCAAAUCAUGUUGUAGAUGUGAAGCUUAGUUGUUUGGUUUGAGGGCAUGUCACUAUCAUGAGAGUGUGAAUUGGUCCUCUAAUCAUUUAUUAUUUCCCUGAAAUCCCAUCUCCUUUUGAGUUGCCUAUGUCUCCCGUCUCCACACUCUUUGUGCUUAAAUUUGUGGGUCGUUAAUUGGUUGUGUAUACUAGCAUCAAGUGAAGUUAGAAAGAGAAAAAAAAUGUCACCCUCUUCAAAUUACCAGUUGUUUUCACUUGUCUCCAUCUUACUGCUAAUAACAGUUGAUCAAAGUUCACAAUCUCAAGCAACACAAGAAAACGGUGUGAAAGUUGGUGUCUUUCUAUCACCAGCGUUUGUGCUGGAACCUGGAUCUGUCUCUAACAAGUUUUACUACAACAUUGGCUUCCCAAAAGGCCAUAUUGCUAUUAAAAGUUUUGAUGCUGAAGUAGUUGAUGAGGCAGGGAAUUCGGUACCCCUUUACGAGACAUAUCUUCACCAUUGGGUUGUUUCAAGAUAUUUUAAUCGAAAAGGUGUAGAAGUAGCAAAGUACCAUUAUGAUUUGGGGUACGACCAAUCAGAUUCUAUUAUUAAGAGUAACUCAGGGAUAUGUGGUGGAGUCCUUAAUACUGUAUAUUUUGGUGUUGGUCCAGAGACCCGAAAAACAAUCAUCUAUAUUCCAGACCCUUAUAGAAUAGAAGUCGGUAAUCCAGUCGAAGUACCUCCUAGAUACGAGGAGAAACGGAUGCUCAAUUUACAUGCAAUUGAUACACGAGGCGCUGAAGAUAGACUGGGAUGCACUGAAUGCAGGUGUGAUCUUUAUAAUGUUACGAAGGACGAGAACAACCGAGAUAUAGAGCCAGAUUACAUCGGAGGCUCGAGAUGUUGUUACAAUGGAACAAGAUGCAAGGUGAAAGACGGAUUCCAAGGAUCAAAGAGAAACCUGUACCUGAAGUACACAGUGAAGUAUAUUGAUUGGGAUGCCUCUAUUGUGCCUGUAAAUAUAUAUUUACUUGAUAUCACUGAUACAUGGAAAAAGCAAGAAAAAUCGAAUGCCACUGUGGCAAGACAUCACUGUAAGGUAUGUGCAGUUCCCUAUGAUAAUUACAAGAACGAAUGAUAAAUCAAAUCAUUUUUAGCUCUUUGCUACUACCUAAAUGUAUAUGGUUAAUAUUCAUGCAAUUUCCUUUACUUCAGAUCAAAUAUUUAGUGGAGUCAUGUGCGGCAUCUGUUGCAAAUGUUGAUUGCACUCAUACAAAGAAGAUAAGCACAAUAUUUCCUAGUGGCGGAGAUCUCAUCUAUGGAGUUGCUCAUCAACAUAUAGGAGGGACUGGGAUGGCACUCCAUGGAGAGGUACUCUGAGCUAUUAUAUUUUGUUUCUUUGGUCAUGUUCUGCUUACAAUCUUAUACAUUUUCAGACAAUGUAUAAAACAAAGAUUUUUGUACAAAAAACUUUUUCUUUUAAUCAACAUCAAGUGUUUAUCGUGUUUUUAUUAUAUCACUAUUUUGUGUUUUAGUUCCUCUCUUGUGGGAUUUGCAUUGCUUCCCUUGUUAUUGGCUAUGUUUUCUUUUUAUUUUUAUUUUUUUGUACUUGGAUUUGCUAUCCUUGAGCCAAGGGUCGAGAAAUAACCUCUCUACCUCCACAAGGUUGUGGUAGUGUCUGGAUACACUCUAAUCCUCCCCAAGUGGGACUACACUGGUGAUGUUGUUGUUGAUACAUAACACUGGUUAUGUAUGCCACAACUUGCAAGACCAGAUUGAUCGAAUCCAUAUCUAAUCUCGUUCUCUUAACAUCAGAUAAAAGAAGUGUUGUUAGCAUUUAUUUGACAUGAUUAUUUUCUUAAUUUUUUCUUCUUUGUUUCCGCUGCACUGGUCUAGGAGGGACAUGUCAUAUGCUCAUCUCUUCCAAUCUAUGGGAAAGGAAAGGAACCAGGAUAUGAAGCUGGUUACAUUGUCGGGAUGUCUAGUUUUUAUCCUAGACCUGGCUCUAUCAAGAUUUCAGAAGGGGAGACUAUAACUUUACUAUCGAACUACAGCAAUGAUCAGAGGCAAACUGGAGUGUUGGGGUUGUUCUAUCUCUUAGUUGCUGAACCAUCACCGAAACCUAACUCUAUCCUACAUUCCGCAGAUGGAGUAAGAUCUUUGACUCAUUAAAAAUUUUCCUACUUAAGUCUAAACAAGAUCAUAUUUUCUGAACUUGUUUCUUCUUCACUACUACAGACAGGUGCGAUUGUAAUAAUGCAGAAUGUUAUUGGAGCCUUGGAAGUGUUUGGAAUUGCACUACUUGUUGGUGCUGCUGUUAUUUAUCAACGUCGGAAUAAAAGGGAUCAGGAAGGCUAUUAGUCUAUACUGACCCGAGGUUCUCUCCAAUUGGUGACUUUGGUCCCUAGUAUGUCGGAAUAAAAGGAAUCAGGAAAGCUAUGAGUCUAUACUUAAGUCUAAAAAGGAUCAUAUAUCUCCCUUCUUUUUGUACACUUAUGUUGUACUUUUAUGUCAAGUUACUGAAUUACAUGAUUUUGCAAUAUAAUAUAAAUACGGCAAGAAUAGGUCUGUAACAAGGUGAUUAAAGACUAUUAUGAGUAUUUAAUCAAGUCUAAGUAUUUAAUCGCAAAAAAUAUAUUAAAAGCAAUUAGCAAGAUAUCAAGGAAUGAAUCUAGACAAUAAUAUGAAUACUUCUUUUUGAGAUACUAUAUUCAUUUUUCCCUCAAAGUCUCGACGGUAAUUAAAAUGUACUCAAUUUUAGGCUUCAGAAAAUUGAAUCAUUUCAACAGACCAGUGGUUAGUUGCUAACAACAUCCUAUCCUUACAAGGUGGGUUUAUGGACAAGAGGUGAAAUAAUAUCCCUUAGCUCUUCCAACGCUCGGGCAUUCUUGUCAGUGAAACUGUUAAGAGAUCCCCAUUUCUGCUCCAAAUCCGCAGCAAACUUUGGACUAACAACACAGAGAGUGUUGUACAGGUCUUUUAUGUUAUUCUGGAAUGGAGUUCCAGAAAAAAGUAUGUGUUUCUCUAUUUUAACCUUUCUCAAAGCUUUCCACACAAGACUCUGCUCAUUCCAACUAUUGUGCCCUUCUUCAAAGACUAGAAGACCAGGAAAUUUUAGAAGUAUUUCUCUAGUCUCUUUGUCAUAACCCUCUCCAUCUUCUUCCGUGAGAAUCCUGAACAAGUCAUAACUGAUUCCCAAAAUACUCUUACUUUUCGUCCAGGAUUUCAGCUUCACCAUGCGUAUAAGGUGUGGAUUUGUUUUCAUAGCAGGGGAUAAACAGUGAAAAACACCAACAGUAUCUUCAUCUUCCUUUAAAGAGAAGUCCUUAUUGUUCAAGUUGUGGAAGGGAAUAUCCACCGCCCAUUUCUGGAACUCGGCUUCCCAGUAAAGAAACAAAUUAGAUGGUGCCAUGAUUACAGGCGACACUCUGGGAACAGCUUCAGAAAUGACUGAAGAAAUUAUAUGGUGAGUCGGGUUUUCCGGUGCCAGGUAAGUGUGAUAUAACGCAUCCUCCCUUACUCUAAGAUAGGGGCUCUCUCAGCCUCUCAAGACUUAUAUCUCCAGCAAUGUUGUUCCACAUGAACUCAAAUCCUUCACGUUGAUGAGGAUAUGAUGGAAUGUAUGCGUCCACUAAUAAUAACAAGACGAGGUCCUUUAGCACAGUUAAGAUACAGAAAAGUAAAUACUGGAAGUAAAGAAAACACGCGAUACUUUACGUGGAAACCUCCUUGCUCAAGGGAGUAAAACCACGACCUGUCACACAAGAUUUUCAACUGCUUUCACUAAUCUUUUCAAGCAAAAGUGAAACACAGAUUACAACCACACGAUGAGAUUAACUUCUUAAUUUCAACACUAAGUAAUACAACCUAUUACUUACUGAGCCUAAACAAUGCAUCCAUUGCCCACUAUAUUAACCUUCACUGAUUAAUAUAGACUUUUGACCGUAAGACACAAAGUUAACCUUAAUGAUGUUCUUACAAUGAAUCACACAAGGUUUUUUAAAUGUUUCUAUCAAGAGUGAAACGAAUCCUACAAGAUAAACACAAAUACAAGCAAUCAAAAUAACAACAGGUUCAGGAAGAAAUUCUUCAGUCGAUUAGGUCCCUUGUUGUUUUGUUUGAAGCUUGAUUUUUCUCUCUUUGAAUGAAUGAUUUGUUAGUUGUUUGUUUCUUUGAUUAUAUCAAACCAAAAAGAAUUAUUGACCAUUGGAAAAACAACCUCGUCCGUUCCUAUUGGUUAUGUACGCUGACGACUUCACCAACCUCUGACAAUGACAUCUUUCCAGCUGUACAACAUAUUGCCCUGGACGAGAAAACUCUGCAGAGGACCGAGUCCCUGCAUUUGUGAGGAUAAUUAAAACAUCUGAAAACCUAUCAGGAUACGUUGUCGCUUUUGCAAUUUGAGGAACUAAAUCCCACACGGUUCCUUCUAUGUAAAUAGGAGAAUCCUGGGCUGCAGAAAAAUCAGAAACUCUAAAGCUGUCAACAUCAAAGACGGAUGGCGACUCUCCAAAAUAUUUUCUUUCGUACCUGUAAUGACCUGGAAAACUAGUAAGUGAAACUAGAGCCUAACGAGUUUUGUUUUGAGUUUAACAUGAGGUUUUGAGUUGUUAAAUGAUGUCCCGAGCUUAGGUUGAGGGGUUAAACGUCAAGGUAUGACUCCCCAACGACCACCCAAGGUCCUUGAGGAGGACCCUAAAUCCUAACCCCCAAGACCCCAAGAAACCAAAAAGCUGCCAAAACAAUGGUGAACUACGGAUGGGACCUACACCCCGUAGGUCCAUUCACGCCUUGUGGAUGGCCUCCGUGGGUCAAGGUCCCUAAAUGUAAGUUGUAGCCACGAACCACGGCUUGCCAGUACGGCCCGUGGACCCACCCACGAUCUAUGGGUGGGGUUCAUGAGUCACCACUGUAGAAAACUGUCUAGAAUCAGCCAAUAAGAGGGUGUUUUGGUAAAUUCCUUUUUAAGUUAGUUGAGUUAAUGGACGGUUAUUAUUGAUUAAUUAAGGUAUUUUAAGGCUUUUAAAGGUAUUAAAACUCCUUUUUCCAAUUCAUUCUUCCAAAACACAAAUUAGAACCCACAUCUCCUCUUCAAAUAUCCUCUCUCUAGAAACCACCAUUAGAGAAGGAGUCAAGCUUUCAAGCUCAAGAUCUCACCAUUCUCACUCAAAUUUCGUGGAGUUCUUCCCUAAAGGUAUGGUAGUCUUCAUCCUUGAUUAACUUUCAUUCAAGGAGCCCUAUCAAAAGGUGAUUUCAAGUUUCUAAAAUCCCCAAAAAAAACCUAGGGUUUUCAAUCUAUGCAUGUGUUCAAUUCCAAAACGUUUUCAAAGGUUCAUAUAUGAUGAUUUAUGAUGGAACUGUUGAAUUAAUGGUGAAUUAUGAUGAUUUAUCCUAUGAACCCAUGUUUCCCCCAAAAUUCUAAAUUUGGAAGUAUGUGAAUUGGGUUGAUUGAUCAUGAAUGUAUGUUGAAUUGUUUAUGUUUAUAUUGAAUUAGUUAUUGAAUCAUGUUAAUUCCCUUAUCUAAUGUAGUAUUCUAGAUGUUUGGGUUGAGGUUGAUUCAUAGCCUUGGAAGGCAAUUUCAUGAAGGAUGUAUGUAUGAUUAUGAUGUUAAGUAUAUGUGUGUGAUCUCAAUGAAAUUAGUAUGAUCAUGUUUAGAAUGUAGUUGUGUUAUGAUUGAAAGUAUAUUCUCAUUAAAACUCAUGAAUGAUGAUAACAGAAUGUGAAGGGUUUCUAUAAUGUAAUGUUAUAUCUUGAAUUAAUAGGCUUAUGCAUCCUCUUCUUGUAUAAAUGAAAGUAAUGUGGAUUGAUGUAUCUUGAAUUGGUAGGGUUAGGCAUCCUCUUCUUGUGUAAUGGAUGUGUCUUGACUUAAUGAAUAUGAAUCGAUAGGCCUAGGGCAUUCCUUUCAUAAAUGACUAAUGGAUGUGUCUCAACUUAAUGAAUAUGAAUCGAUAGGCCUAUGGGAUUCCUUUCAUAAAUGACUAAUGAAGUAUUGUAAGGCUUUGUCUUGAAUCGGUAUACCUAAUGUUGGUAGCCCUUACAUGAUGAGUCUAUGAUCUAUUCUAAUGAUGUAUCUUAGAUCGGUAGGCUAAUGGCACCCUUCCGUGCAUGUUAAUAAUGAAACUUGGGAUCGGUAGGCUUAUGGCACCCUUCCAUAAAUGAUGUUAAUGAACUUUGGGAUCGGUAGGCUUAUGACACCCUUUCAUGAAUGUUGAUGAUAAACCUUGAAUCGGUAGACCCUAGUGUUGGUAGCCCUUUCAUGUGUGAAAUGAUAAAACUUGAAUCAGUAGGUUUAUGGCACCCUUUCAUGAGGAUUCAAUGAGCUUUCUUAUUAAUGUACCUUGAAUCAGUAAGCUUAUGACACCCUUUCAUGUGUCAAUCAAUGUACUUUGGGUCGGUAGGCCAAUGCCACCCUCUCAUGUACAAUAAUGUUAAUGUGAAUGAACUACUCUAUGGGAAUGGAGGCUAAGCACCGAGUGGAUAUGGUAAUAUGGAAACUCUCCCCGUGUUAGGUCGGGUUCCAAUGAACAUCUUCCUAUCCCAUAACUAUGUGCCCACAUACGAUAUUAGCUAGUGGAUCCACUUAAGCUAAAAUGUUACCGAUUCUACCUUAGGCAAGUAGACCAACCCUUACGAUGUGGGAUAGUACAUCGGAUUCCAUGUUAAGCUCACAUGGUCUAUGUCAGUUAAACGCUUAUUCCCAUCAUGUGAGACGUUCUCUAUGGUUUCUUGAGAAGUUCUAUGAAGUGUGGGUGGUAGUAUGGGAUGCCAUUCAUGCAUUGCACUAGUAGGCUUAGAGAGGGUCAUAGUGAGUUCUCUAAUGUCUUCAUGACUAAUGAAUGAAAGUGCUCUAAAUGAAGCUAAUGAAGAAUGUUGACUUGUAUGCUUAAAUGUAAUGAUGCAUACUAUACUUGGAUGUAUUAUGAGUUACUUCCUUGUCAUGACUUAUGAAAUGUUUUUGUUCCUUAUGUAUGAGUAUGGUCUAAAGAUGAAAAGGAAGAAUGGUAAGUUCACUUUUGGUGGCCUUAAUGUGGUACUUAGUGUUGAUGGUGGUAUGUGACGCUAUUCAUACAUUGCACAAAGUAUAGCUUGGGGUUACUUAAGGUGAAGGUUUUAAAGUGAUGAAAUGACUUAUAUGUUGAUUAUGUUCUAAUGUGAUGAAAUGGCUUGUAUGUUGAUUAUGCUUGUAUCUUAUGCCUUUUAUGCAAAAGUUCAUGAAGUUUUCUCAAAUUGGCAUAAUGCAUGAUUUUCAAACCAAAUUCCCGUUUUAAAGCAUGAUUUUUGCAUGGCUAUCAUACUUAGUACAUUAUUUGUGCUAACCCAUAUUUCUUCCAUUUUUCUACGAAGUGUAGGGUUUGGACUUGAUGUUUUAUUCUUGGAAGAUAGGUUUCUAAGGUGCAAGGAGAUGAAGAUUUUGUGAGUCCUCAUAGUUUCGAGGAUGAACCCAUUAUUUCCCUUUAUGUCUUUUACUUUAUGUUUAGAGCUUUUGUAUGGGCUGUGUCCCAACGUUUUAAGUCUUAUGUUUCUAGAUGGUUUGAGACAAAGUAUAGAAAGAUUUUCGCUUGCUUUUAUGAAAAUGAUUUCGAUUGUAAAGAAAAGUUUUAAAUUCUGCACUAUUUCAUAUGCUCUUAUGUUCAUGAAUGCUAUGAGGCUUGUAUGAAACUUUUCGGAGUCUUGUACGCCGUGUUGCAUCUAGGGGUACCCCUGGGUCGUGACAGUACCUCCCUCGAGUUCUCUGAGACUGCAGAUGACACAUAAGUUCAAGAAUUUAAGAGUGAAUCAUAAAUAAAUUGGAGAGAGGAAAAAAAUCGUAUACUUACAAAAUCAGGGAAUAUGUACUUGCUUUCUAAAUGGACAUAUGAACAAACUGAACAGAUGAGUUCAAUUUGUUCAUCUAGAACAAGAUGGUGGUUCCCCAUCUGACAGUCACUUAGUUCACUCUGCAUCAGUGAAACAGAUGGAUUUGUAAAGCCAAUAUGCGAUUCUUCCAUACUCAUGUACAUUUCAACAAAAAUAUUGUCAAUCUCCUUUUCCCAAUCUUCUUUCUCCGGAUGAAGAGGUUCCUCGUCUUCAAAUUGGAAUAUUAAAGAAAGUGUUUCUUUGACAGAAAGAUAUUCCUUCUCGUCAGGAGGUAUGACUUUAUUAUGAUCAUUGACAUUUUUAUUGAAUCAAAAUAAACUUCAGAAACUCAGACUCUUCAAGAAUCUUCUUCCGAUUCUUUUGAAGAGCAUUAGUUGAAGAUUCGAAUUUUGACUCAGAAUAUGAGGUUGUAUCAGUAAACUCUUUGGAUUCGGCUACUUCCCUACACAUGCUUGAUGUAGAAGGAACAACCUGAUAUGUUGCAUUCAACGUCGAAGCAGCCUCCUCCCUAAUGAUAACAACUUCAGGAUCACUCCCCUCCUCCCUGAUGAUAACAACAUCAGGAUCACUCUCCUCCUCUUAGUUGCUGAACCAUCACCGAAGCCUAAUUCUAUCCUACAUUCUACAGAUGAAGUUAAAACUUUUACUCAUUAAAAGCUUUCGAGAUUCAGAGUAGUGAAUUUCCUACUUAAGUCUAAACAAGGUAUAUUUCUGAACUUGUUUCUUCUUCACUAUUGCAGACAGGUGAGAUUGUAAUAUUGCAGAAUGCUAUUGGAGCCUUGGCAGUGUUUGGAAUUGCACUACUUCUUGGUGCUGAUGUUAUUUAUCAAUGUCGGAAUCAAAGGGAUCAGGAAGGCUAUGAGUCUAUACUGAUGUGAGGUUCUUUUCCUUCUGGUGACUCUGGUCCCUAGUGUAGUGCACAAAAUGCAAGUUAUGAUCUCCCUUCUUUUCGUGGACUAGUUCCUCGACACAUGUGUUUCACUUGUAUGUCAAGUCAUGAAUUACAAGAUUUUGUAAAAUAAUAUCGAUAUUAUUAAAAUAAAACUUUGAGUGAAUGGUAGUACAAGUGCUUGUGAAUGAUCUAUCUUUUGAUCUUUGUAUAGUGACAUGUUUGUCAAUGUUAAGAAGUUGAAUAGUUAAUUAUCAUUUAAUUGGAUAGAUAUUAUCUAGCAAAAAUAUUCUUUAACUUAUAAGUAGGCUUCCUACUUCUAAAAGUAACUAAGCUCAAAUUUAAUUUUCAAUCUGAACAUCUCAAAAGCAAAACAAUUUGGUUAGUUGAUAUCUUACUUUUGGAGUGAAAUAGCAAGAAAGAAUUAAUUUAUUUCCAAGAGGUUACUGUUGCCGUGAAAUAACAAGAAAGAAUAAUUUAUUCCAAAGAUGUUACUUUGGCCUUUCUAAGUAUAAAAAUAAUAAAACAGAUCUUGAAUUCCGCUAAAUUAUUGAAUUAGGAUUAAAUAUAAUAAAGUCAAAAGCAGUUUUUAAAAGGGAAAAUUAUGCAACAACGCAAACAUGUGAUUUAUAUUUAUGAUAAACUAUUACAAUUUGUAGCUAUAUGUAGGGUUUUAUAGCAAAUUUCUCUCUCUCUAAAAAAAAGAAAUUCAUUUAAAUGUAUUAUGUAUCAAUUGUAUUCAAUCAAAUAUAGGUGAAUACUUUGUAUUUUAUAUGAAUUGUAUUCGAAAAACUAUUUUGUAAUUUGUAUCAAUUGUAUUCGUGAUACAACGAAUAUAAUAUGCAUUCAUACGAAUACAAUAUGCAUUCAUCCUCUCUUUAAAAUGUAUUAUGUAUCAAUUAUAUCCAAUCAAAUAUAGGUGAAAGAUUUGUAUUUUAUAUCAAUUGUAUUUGAAAAAUUAUAUUUGUGUUUUGUAUCAACUGUAUUUGUAUUAUGUAUUAAUUGUAUUCGUGAUGCAAUGAAUACAACAUGUAUUCAUCCCCUCUCCUCCCUCUCUCGAUUACACUCGUAUCUCUCUCAAUCUCGCUUGCCUCUCGCCUCCUAAUAAAUAUUCAUUUUGAUACUGUAUUUGUAUUUUUUUCUUCUCCGAAAUUCGUGAAAAAAUACAACGAAAAUACAAAUGUGUAGCAAACCAAAGUGUAGCUAAGGAAUCCUAUUUAAGGCCUAAUGUUUGUUAAUUAAGAAAAUUUUCUAGGGCAGUGUUUAGCACGGCACGUCAGGGUAGGGUAGAGUAGGGUAAUAUUUUGGAAAAUAGUAAACGGAGAAGGGUAGGGUGGUCAAAAUCUUAGCAGGUCAAGGCUUGCCCCUCCCUAUUGUCAUUCCUACGAGGGGGGCAACAACUUAUCUAAUCCUUUUUAGAAGAGUUUUGUGAUGCAAUUAAGCAAUCUGUAAUGGAAUUAGCUAAUCUAGGAGAUGACUCGAAGAAGAUGAUAGCCAAAUCAGGCUUAUAACCGAGAAUUGAGGUUGGAUUGAAUGUAGAAGAGUAAGAGAGAAUCAAAUAUUAUUUCAUGAAUGAAUCCAAUUAUAUCUAUUGGCUAUAUUUAUAGAAAUGAAACUAGUAGAUGAAAUCUGAAAAUCUAACUGCUAUAGUCUGACAACUGCAACUACUUCUAACUAACUUGCUACAUCACUUAACUAACUUCCCAACUCACCUAGGCUAGUUCAGUGUUAGACUUAUAUUAAUACCCCCUGCUGAAGAUGAUCCUUGACCUCAAGGAUGAAAUGGAGAGAAUAUGUGCUUCAACUCGGAUAUAAAUUCCCAAGUAGCCUGAUUAACAUCAAUACUAAACCAUUUUAGCAAGACUUGGCCAACAACUUUGUUACCCUUUGUCACUAACCUCCUUUCGAGGACAGCCUCAGGGUCAGGGCAAUAAGGAUUCGAGAGACGAAAGACUGAAGGAUGGUUGAUGACUAUUAGAACCUCAAGACAUCUCUUCAAUUGUGAAACAUGAAAUGUUGGAUAAAUAAGAACAUCAGAUGGCAUCAACAACCUUCCAAUUUUAGCAUCAAUAUGAUAAGGCUAAAAUAUUUAGCAGCCAGUUUAGGAGAUGUUCUCACAACAAUAAAAACUUGUCGAUAAGGCUGAAGCUUCAAGUAAAUCAUAUCUCCCACAACAAAGGACGUAUCAGACCUAUGUUUGUUAGUUGUAUACCUCAUCCUCUUUUGAGGUCUGAAAAUAUGGAAUUUCAACAACUAAAUAAUGGAUUCUCUAGCAACUGAAGAUCUGUCCACCAUAUCAAUAGCAACUUCACCAACCAAGUAAGGAAGAUGGAUACGAGGUUUCUGUCUAUAUAAAACCUCAUAAGGGGUACACUUGAGAGUGGUACACCAUUCAGCCAACGGAAAAUAGGAAGACCCCUCUUUAGGCUUAUCAGAGCAAAUGCACCUCAAGUAUGUUUCUAAUGUUCUGUUCCAUACUUCUGUCUGACCAUCAUUUUAUGGAUGGUAGGCAGUAGGCCUUUGUAAUAGAACACCUUGGAUGUUAAACAAUUUUUUGCCAAAAGGUACUAAGGAAUAUUGGAUCUCUAUCACUAAUCAAGGUGAUUGGCAUUCCAUAGAACUUAAAGAUACUAACAAGGAAGGACUGGGCUACUGAUUGAGCAGAGUAGGAAUGGGACAAAGCCGUGAAAUGCCCAUACUUGCUUAAUCUGUCCAUAACAAUCAAAAUAACUUCCUUACCAUUAGACUUAGGUAGGCCCUAAAAAAAGUCUAAACAAAUGUUAAUCCACACAACUGGAGAGGUUAUAAUAACCCUAGGUUUGUAGCAGCAUCAUAUUUAUGUCUCUGGCAUAUAUCACACCUAUUAAUGAAAUCUCAGAUAUCUUGGGAAAGAGAUUUCCAAUAGAAUAGUGACUAUAACCUCUUAAUGGUAACAUCCAUACCUGAGUGAGUGACCCCCCCGAGUAGAAUCAUGCCAAAGUUCAAUGAUAUUCCUCCUUAGGUUAGGAUCAAUACCAACCACCGGUCUUUCUUUCCACCUUAACUGGUUGUUAUGCCAAGUGAAAGAUUUAGAGGGAGCUGUUUAUACAUUAGCAAUUAUCUCCUGUAAAGAGUGAUAAGUAGUCCAAGAAGCCUUAAUGAUCCAGUAGAGAAUCAUGAGGAGUGAGCAAUGAAAAUGCCAACAGUUCAACAUUAAAUUUUCUUAAUAAAGCAUCAGUAACUUUGUUCUCAACCCCUUUCUUAUAUUCAAUACUGAAAUCAAAAUCCAUGAGCUUUGAGAUACAAGCCACCAGAAAAUCUGCAUGAAUAUGUUGAUGCAACAAAAACUUUAGUGCCUUCUGAUCAGUUUUGAUAAUAAAGUGUUUUCCCAACAAGUACUGAGACCACUUGGUGACAACAAAUAUGAGGGCUAACAGUUCCCUAUCAUAUACACACAAAGCUUGAUGUUUGGGAGAUAAGGACUUGCUAAUAUAAGCAAUGGGAUUCCCUUGCUGCAUUAACACAGCAAAUAGUUGAGCAUAAUCAGGUAUGGCUAGGACGGGAGCAAAAACCAAAGCCCCUUUUAGCACUUCAAAGGCACUAGUGACAAUAUUAGUCCAUACAAAUCUCUUUUUUAAGUAGAUCAUGUAGUGGUCUACAGAUAGAACCAAACCCUUUGAUAAAUCUUCUAGAGUACCCAGCUAAAUCAAGGAAUCCCCUUAAUUGUUUGAUUUACUAGGAAUAAGCCAUUGUUGAACUGUUGUAAUUUUCUUAAGAUCGUAGAAACCCUUCUCCACUAAUGAAAUGACCAAGAUAUACUACUUGAAGCACCCCAAAAGCACACUUAGACAUCUUGGCAUAAAGCUAAAACCUUUACAUCAACUCAAACACUGCCUUCACAUGCUCAACAUGAUCAAUCCAAAUUUUGCUUUAAAUCAAAAUAUCAUCAAAGAAGAAAAGUACUGACUUUCUUAGUAAUGGUUUGAACACAGAAUUUAUAAGACUUUGAAAAGAAGAUGAGGCAUUAGUUAAACCAAAGGGCAUAACUAGAAACUCAUAAUGGCCAUCAUGAGUCUUAAAUGUUGUCUUAUGAGUAUCUCAUUCAAACAUGCUCAAUUGGUGUAUCCCACUUUUAGGUCGAUUUUAGAGAACACCAUUGCCCUCCCAAUUCAUCCAAAAGAUCCUCUAUAAUAGGAAUAUGAAACUUAUCCUUGAUGGUCAAGUGAUUCAACUCUCUAUAAUCCACACAAAGUCUCCAAGUUCCAUCCUUCUUUCCCACCAAAACUACUGAGAAGCAUAUGGACUAGUGUUGUGUAGUAUCACUCGAUGGUCCAUCAUUUCUUGGACCGAUUUAUCUAUAGUGUCCUUAACUCAUGGAUAUUUGUAAGGCCUUUUAUUGACUGGACUAGAGGACUCCACCAAGGGUAUUCUGUGGUCAUAAUGACCUCUAUGUGGUGGUAGUGUGGUUGGAAUCUCAAAAAUACUUGCAAACUGUUCAAGUAGAUCAGUGAGAACAAAAGAAAUUACACUGCUUUGAUUAGUUUGGAGGUUGUAACACUGUACUUUAAAAUCUUCAGUGAUGAGAGACAUCACAUAGAACUGAGUGUCCUCUUCAUAAUUCUUAUCCAACAACUUGCUCUUGGUUAUUUUCAAAUGAUUAUAGUAGUCCCCCUCAAGAUAUGUUUCUUGCCUUGGUAUCUAAAAUCAAUAGUUCUAUUCCUGAAAUCAAACAAUAUCCUACCUAGAGUGUUUCAUCACUGCACUACUAGGACGAUAUCUACAUUUCCCCGGGGUAGAAGUAAAAAAUUAGAAGCAAAUGUAGUGCCCCGCAACAACCACUGCAGGUUCUUACAAACUGAUAUUGUUGUAACCUUCCGCCUAUCAACCACAGUUAUUGAUUGCUCCUAUAUAUAUAUAUAUAUAUAUAUAUUAGGUUGGCAUCCUAACUUCUUGGCCAUCUACUGGUCAAUGAAGUUGUGUGUACUUCCAAAUCAAUUAGAAUUUGCAAGGGUCUUUUCUCAUGGUAGCCAGUCACCCUGAUAGUUUGAUACCAAGUCUCACAUGUAAAGGCUUGAAGUGAUAUAGUCAUCAAUUCACCAGUCUCAAGUAUUACUUCUUGUUGUAACUCCUCAUAAUCUAAUUCAUCCACUAUUUCAUCUUCUAUUAUAUCAACCAUAUAAAGUUAUUUCUUGGAUACACACUUGUUCCCCACCACAUAUUUCUCAUCAUAACAAAAAAACAUAACCCUUUUGCUCAUUUUCAUUCAUUUCUGAAGAUGUUAACCUCCUACAAGUAUUAGUUUCAUUGAAUUUAGGAUUUUUAUCGGCUUGCAACUCAUGAACCUUUCUAACUGUAGAAUUUUGUCCAGAUGCUCUAAGAGGAAUAGGUAGUCUAGAAUAAGACGGAGCAGUCAAGAUAGUACCCUUUAGUUUUCCUCUAAUCUUCAGACCACAAAUUGGGCCUGGCUUCAAAUAUUCUUCCUGCAGCCUUGCAAGCUUGUAAGCCUACAUCAGAGUUCUUGGUUACUGAAGUCUUAUGGACUUAUUCAACUUAGGUUUUAUACCUCCGGGCUCCCAAGAAACAACUGAUGGUGUUUUCAGUUGACAAGUUCACAGUUGCCAACAAUCUAUCAAACUCAGCUUGGUACUCUUUCACACAUUCUGUUUGAGUUAGAUUCAUAAUUGCUUCUAUAGAAUCCUCAAACCCUUCCCCAAAUCUUUCAUUUAAUGCUAGCACAUAUUCAGUCCAACUCAGAUCAACAACUGAAUCUCUAGAUCUCAUAUAAGAUCUGCCAAGCAAUUGCUUCCCCGUCCAUAUAAUAAAAGCCACCUUCAAUCUCAUCCAUUGAGAAAAAUUGAUCCAUCUUAUACAAUCACUUUCUUAGCUCUUGACCAGAAAAUUUAGGAAAAUCUAAUCUAGAGAAUACAGUAAUGAAAUUACAAUGCUUGUGAUUCUCCUUAGCUCUGGUGUCUUGAUGGAGUUCCCUAGAACAAGCUUUGUCAGUGGAAGAUUCUGCCCUUCCUGCCUAUUUAUCCUUUCCUUUAAGACCUGGUUGAUUCAUGACUUCUCUAAUGUCACACAUUUCCUUAUCAGUCUGAGAAUUCUUAUCCACCAUAAUUGUCAUUUCUUUCAUCAACUUCUGCAAAUUCAGUGGCGGAGCCACCUUACUAUUACGGGGUUCAUCCGAACCCCUUUCGGUGGCGGAAAAUUAUAUAAUAUAUACAUGGUUAAAAUAACUUUUUAGGUACAUAUAGUAGAUAUCGAACCCCCUUCAGCUAUUUCAUGUGUCUAUUUAUUCAAAUUUUGAACCCCUUAUUGAAAAUCCUGGCUCCGCCACUGUCUGCAAUUGAUCUUAAAUUUGGACAAAUUUAUCCUCCAUUGAUUUGCUAGGUUUAUCUUGACUUUUUCUGUGGGUUAUCAUCUACAGCCAAGAAUGAGUGGGUUUGAUACCAAUUAAUGCAAUUAAGCAAUCUGUAAUGAAAUUAGCUAAUCUAGAAGAUGGAACUAGAAGAAGAUGAUAGCCAAAUCAGGGUUAUAACCAAGAAUUGCGGUUGGAUUGAAUGUAGAAGAGAAAAAGAGAAUUAGAUAUUAUUUCAUGAAUGAAUCCAAUUACAUGUAAUGGCUAUAUUUAUAGAAAUGAAGCUACUAACUGAAAUCUGGAAUCUAACGGCUAUAGUCUAACAACCGCAACUAGUUCACCGUUAAACUUGUAUCAUUUUUUCUUCAGAAGGCCUUUUGGAAGCAGAAUCUUCCGAGCCUUCACCAUUGGAAUCUUCGGAUAAAUUAGGGGUGGAAAAAUCAAAUCUACCCCGUUCAACUCAACCAAUCCGUUUAGUUUUGGGGGAUUUAUUGAUCCACACAUUCAUUAGCUCAACCAAUUUCAACUCAUUAAAAAUUGCGUUGAUAUGUAACCCAACUCAUGAUAAUAAUAUUAUUAUUAUUAUUUUCAAUUUGGUAUGUUAUACAUUAGCCAUAAUAAAGAAAAAUAAUAAUUUAUUAGGUACUAAAAUAGUUUAAAGAACAAAUAAAAAUGUUUUUUCAUAUUAUUUAUAUUUCAUUUCCUUCUUCAUGUGAUUCCAUGAAUUUUUUCGUAUUAUCUAAAAAAAUCAUUAGUAUAAUUUUGUUAGUUUUCUAAUUUUUAAAUUAAAGUAGAAUUCAUUGUUGAAUAAAGUUAUGGACUUACGUUUUCCUUUUCUUUUAAAUCAUAUUUAUGUAUGUUAUAAUGUUGAAAUUUGACAUACGAGUAUUAUGCUCAAUUUUUUGUUUUGAAUUCAGAACUGAUGUUAUAUUUUCAAUUUCAUUUGUUUUAGGAGUAUUGACUCGAUACUUUAUAUUGCAAGCUAUUUUUUAAAGUUAGACUUGAUAGAUUAUCUUCUUCUUUUUUCAAAUGUUUUAUAAUUUUAUGACAUUAUAUUUAUAAUAUUAAUCUUUUUGUCAAACAUGAAUUUCAUGAUGUUCUUGAAAUUCUGUAAUUUUAGUUUUUAUGAUUAAUUUAAUUAAAGAGUAACUUUCACAUAUAGCAAACAUAAAAAUCAUAUUUGUAUGUUAUAGCUAUAGUUUGCAUAAUUGCGCUCCAUAACAAAUUUUAUGUUUGAUAUGGAGCUUUUGAUUUGUAUAAUUCGCUAGAUACAUCCAAUUUUAUACAAAUUGUUCAGUUUUGUAUAAAUUCAUUUAUACAUUGUAAUUUGUAUAAUAAGAUCUGUAUUUGUAUAAUUAUAAGUGUAUAUGACGAAAAUAUAUGUAUUUGUAUUUGUAUAUACACUUUUCUCUCACUUUAUACAAACACAAACACAUUUUAUACAUUUGUAUACCGAAUGAGUAAUUGUAUACCGAAAAUGACUAAUUGUAUACCGAACCAGAUGGAAAAAAGGGAUGUUUCCAGCGAAUAAAUUAUGACUAUAUCAUUUAAUUUGAAUUAAUAAUUUUCUAUUUCAUACAAUUUUCUCUUAAUUAAAAUAUACUAAAUUGAAAAAUAUGAAUCAACUAUUUUUUAUAAUAUCAAAUAAGAACAUAUGUUCACUAAUUAUAUCUUUUCAAAAGACAAUAUAUAUCUUAAAUAUUCAAUUUAAUAUCAUUUAUAAGGUCCUUAUUUAUCUAAUAUAAAUUUUUAAUUUUAAAUAGUUAAUUUUUAUUUUUAAAAUCCAAUAUAACCUUAUGAUUACACUUAUGCAACCAAAUAGUACACUUGUAAUUACAUUGUGACAAACAAAUAGGUCAGUGAAAUUACUAUCCUAGUAAUUAUACCAAUUUCAAUUAUUUGAUGACUUUCCAAACAGACCCUAAGUGUAGUAAGUGUAUUCAGGGGCAUAUCUAGAGGGGGUGCCGUGGGUUCAUGUGAACCCAUGAUCCUCUCUCUAGAUCAUAUAUAGUAGUGUUAUAUUUUUAAAAAAAUAUUUAAAUAUAGAUGGGUAAAUUCACGUUUAAAGUAUCAUAUAAUAAUGAGAUGAUGAUUGGGUGCACCUCUCUAAGUGAGGAUAUAAUUUUAAUUCUUAUAUCUAUCUUGUCUUUUUGAGUAGCACCUGUCCAAGUGGUUAUCAGUUACAUUUUUGGUGUUUCAACUAAUUUUUCUUUUGUUUUUUUUUCAUUUAAUCUUUCAACAAUUUCAAGUAUGUUACAUUGAAAAUUCCUAAAAAAUUUGGCACUGGAAUUAUUUUUAUAUAAUUAAAUCAAAUGUGUACAUUAAAAUUUAAAAUUCUUAGUAUUAUAUUUUGGACCUAUAAUUGUUAAAAUUUAAUGGUUCAUAUUAAGAAGCUAAAAGUCAAACCGAUCAAAUUUAUAUUUAAGAUGCACUUCUCGUAAUCGUGCAUGGAUCUUGCCGAAAUCUUGGAUACGCUUUUGUCAGUAUUAGAUGUGAAUUAGGCUCAUAAGGAACCUCUAGCACCAAGCCAAGUUUAAAACAUUCUUAUCGACUAAUCUUUUGCAUGAGUUCAUACAAUGAUCAACUUCAAACGACUAUAUCUGUUAGAAUGUGAACAAUUUUUAAUACCAAGAAAAUGAUAGGUCGUGGAGCCUUCUUUCCAAUGCCUCAACUAUUCGUCAAUCCACACUACAAAAAAAAACAACAUUUAGUGACGGAUUUCAGCGACAAACAAUAUUCUGUCACUAACUAACGACGGAUUAGCUACGAAAAACUAAUUUGGUUGCUAAAAUAUCAAAGGAAAUAUUUGGAUCUUCAAUAGUGACGGAUUAGCGACGAAAAUUGAAAUGUGUUGGUAAAAUUGGGCGCUAAAAUUUGGCGCCUUAAUUUGCCUACGAAAAUAGCGACGCAUGGCGGAUGAAAAAUUUGAUAAUUUGUUAGCGACAGAUUUAACGACGGAAAUAUUUGUCGCUAGUGUUAUUUUAUUUCUUGCUACAAAAAUUUUGGUCGUUGGCUAAUUUCUUUUAAAUUAUAUAGAAAUAUUUUAGCGACAGAAUGCAUAUCCGUCGCUAAAAUCGUCACUAAAUUUUACCCAAAUUUUUUAGGGCUCCAAUAUUUCCCUCUCAACUUAACACUUUUCCCUCAUUUUCACAGAAAAAAAAUUACCUCUCAUCUCUCACAAACAAAACCUCUCAUCCCUCAUUUCCCACUCACCGUGAAAAUGCAAANNNNNNNNNNNNNNNNNNNNNNNNNNNNNNNNNNNNNNNNNNNNNNNNNNNNNNNNNNNNNNNNNNNNNNNNNNNNNNNNNNNNNNNNNNNNNNNNNNNNNNNNNNNNNNNNNNNNNNNNNNNNNNNNNNNNNNNNNNNNNNNNNNNNNNNNNNNNNNNNNNNNNNNNNNNNNNNNNNNNNNNNNNNNNNNNNNNNNNNNNNNNNNNNNNNNNNNNNNNNNNNNNCCUAAGUAAGAUUUAUUUCAUUGUCUUUAGUUUUACUUAUAGAGCUUAACCCCUCCUCUCUAGUCAAUGAAGAUUCUUAUUCUUUCAAAACCUUUCUCUUACAACUAUAGCUAUCAGAGACAACACAAGAGGAAGUAAUAAUGAUUACAUAUGAAUUCGGGACAACAUUGUAAGGAUAAUAUAAGAUUUUUCUUGAAUAUAUAUUGCUAUAGUUUUUUUUUUCUUCUGUUUGUAACAUUUUGAUUCAUUCUCUCGUAUGCUCUAUUUUCUGUUUGUAACAAUGAUUUUGAUGUUUUCUAUGAUUCAGUCUCUAAAAGUGAAUACCCAUAUUUUUUUCUUGUAUCGACAACAUGAUUGAUUCAUCGUUGCUAGACAUCAGGUGUUGUUUCUUGGAAGUUGCUACAUCAUUGCUUGAAAUCAAGUGUUGCUGCAUCAUUGUUGGAAACUUUUCGCUGCUGCUUUGAGGCUACUUCAUUGUUACUGAAAACUUGUCGCUACUGCUUGGACGCUGCUUCAUCGUUGCUGGUUUAUCAAAAGGUAAUUUCAACUCCACGCUACUGCUUGGACGCUGCUUCAUCGUUGCUGGUUUAUCAAAAGGUAAUUUUAACUCCGAAACCUCAUAUUUCUUUGUAAAUCAAAAGGUAUUGUUUUUCUACAUUUUCAAUUUUCUUCACAGAUUUGAUAUUUUAUUUACAGAUUUGGCUGAAUCUCAAAGAAAUUUAAGGUAAAGUCUUUGAAGAUUUGUUUAGGUAAAGUCUUUAAACUCACAAGUAAGUCUAUUUUUUUAUAUAUAUUUCAUUGUAUCUCUAUUUUAUAUGCUUUUCUGUUCAUAUUACUUUUCUAUUCAUAUGUAUUUCUUUUGACAAUAAUUUAUAUGUAUUGUAUUUGAACUCAACCAAGAUGUCAUAUAUGAAUUUGUGUUCCUCUUCUUCAUUUGAUUGUCGUUGCCUUUCAUUACCUUUUACUUGAGUAAUUGGUUGAAUUGUCCAACUGUUGCAAGUUUAAGAAUUAUGGUUUAAUACAGUAAAAAAUGUUUUUGAUGUGGGUUUGGGUUAAAGUUGUUAACAAGUUAUUGAAGAAAAUCAUAAGAACCACGACUAUAUAUAAACUUACUUGCUUGCCUUUUGUUCAUUUUGUUGUAUUAUUUCUUUAUAUAAAAAUCAAACAUUUAAAUGAAAAUCUCUAUCACCAAAAUUGUAUGAGUCGAAAAAAUACUCUUCCUCUUUGAUUACAAGCAAAAGCAUAAUAGGUUAUGUAUAACUGUAAACUUUUAUUCCUUCAGAACUUGUUGACUAAAUGGUUUAUAUAACGAAUUGGUGUUGCGUUCUAACAUGUUUUGUGUUCUAUUAAAGUUUUAAAUCUUUGUUGACACUUUUGCUUGUCAUUUUUUUUGUGGUUUCAAUUGUUUUUGCUAAACUAAUAUGUUAUUGCUUUAUUUUUAAUUUUUUGGAUAACUCUAAUUGUCUUGUUUAUUUUAACAUUAAAUAGGAGUAUGAAUAAUCUAAAACGUAGUUGGAUGUGGUUUUGGAAUAUCACAAGUAAAAUUAUGGACUGGGAUCUUGACUGCAGCAACUAGGAAAGAAAGACAUUUUCCUUUCCGCAGCCUAGCAAAGUAGGAAAGAAAGAUCUAUGUUUUCUGACCCUCAGACUUAUCUGACCAUUGUUUCAACUUUUCAAGUUCGACCCUCAGACUUAUCUGACCAUUCCUUAACUUCUCCAGCUCCUCUCCUAGAUUAUUGUUCACGAGAUCAACACGAGGACUAGCGUUGAUCUGGAAUUCUGCUUUCGAUACAUUUCAGUCAGUGCUUUUUAUGAGUUGUAUUCUCCUUCUCUAGACACUUAAUCCUGACAAAGAUAUUAGGAUCAGUAAAAGUAGGUGUUGCAACUUAAAUAGUUGUUUCUCAAGUGCAGUUUUUUCAGAUUUCAAUAUUUGGUGUUGAUUUGGAAUUCUACUUUCGAUAUUUGAUGUUGGUUUUGUUCAAAAUUUACUCAUGUAAACUUUGUUUUGCACAAUAUGUCUGUUUUUAUUCUUAGACCUUUUUUUAAUGCAUAAUUUUUUAAACACAUGAGAACUCAUUGAUGUUAGUUGAGUCUGGAUGUGUCUAUUGUUGUUAUAAAUAAAUAAUUUCACUAAUUUUCACUCUUUUGCAGGAAAAAUAUCAAGAAAUAUUAUAGAACCAAACACAAACUCAAUCUGAUGUUGAUCAAUGGAAAACAUAUUAUCAAGCAACGGGAGGGGAAAAGAAAAGAAGGAUAUAUGGUCUUAAAGCUCAAGCAAAAGUAUUUUAUGGAUCAAAUUUUUGUGUCUCUUCUGGAUCUGAUGCUUCUGGCUCAGUACCAUGUCCAAAUGCUCAAACAACACCGACAGAAAAUAUGGAUGAGUUAGUGGUGCGAAUGAUUCCUUCGCUAACUAAUCACCUACUUUCUAUAUUUGUAGAGCAGGUACGUGGUUUGAUUUCUCCAGCCUCAUCUCAGUCAGACUCUCCUACCAACCAUCCAUCAACUAUUGCACUUGUAAUUCCUGCUCCAACUGCAACAAAUAUCGAUGAGGAUCGUGCAUCGCUUUCUGAGGAAUGAUUGUGGCUCUCUAGUCUCUCUUAGUUAGUUUUUGAUGGCUAGAUUUUGUUGCAAAUGCUUUCAGCUAUAUAUUUUGCUUGAAAUUUAUCAUUGGGGAUACUUUGAACUUGGUAAUAUAAUUUGCACUUAGUUAUGUACUUUGGAUCUUGUAGAAUAUUAAUUUCUAUGGAUUAAGUUAAUUUUAUGAUUGUAUAAUAUGUGUUUGAAAAUGUGUAUUUAAUUACACAAAUAAAAANNNNNNNNNNNNNNNNNNNNNNNNNNNNNNNNNNNNNNNNNNNNNNNNNNNNNNNNNNNNNNNNNNNNNNNNNNNNNNNNNNNNNNNNNNNNNNNNNNNNNNNNNNNNNNNNNNNNNNNNNNNNNNNNNNNNNNNNNNNNNNNNNNNNNNNNNNNNNNNNNNNNNNNNNNNNNNNNNNNNNNNNNNNNNNNNNNNNNNNNNNNNNNNNNNNNNNNNNNNNNNNNNNNNNNNNNNNNNNNNNNNNNNNNNNNNNNNNNNNNNNNNNNNNNNNNNNNNNNNNNNNNNNNNNNNNNNNNNNNNNNNNNNNNNNNNNNNNNNNNNNNNNNNNNNNNNNNNNNNNNNNNNNNNNNNNNNNNNNNNNNNNNNNNNNNNNNNNNNNNNNNNNNNNNNNNNNNNNNNNNNNNNNNNNNNNNNNNNNNNNNNNNNNNNNNNNNNNNNNNNNNNNNNNNNNNNNNNNNNNNNNNNNNNNNNNNNNNNNNNNNNNNNNNNNNNNNNNNNNNNNNNNNNNNNNNNNNNNNNNNNNNNNNNNNNNNNNNNNNNNNNNNNNNNNNNNNNNNNNNNNNNNNNNNNNNNNNNNNNNNNNNNNNNNNNNNNNNNNNNNNNNNNNNNNNNNNNNNNNNNNNNNNNNNNNNNNNNNNNNNNNNNNNNNNNNNNNNNNNNNNNNNNNNNNNNNNNNNNNNNNNNNNNNNNNNNNNNNNNNNNNNNNNNNNNNNNNNNNNNNNNNNNNNNNNNNNNNNNNNNNNNNNNNNNNNNNNNNNNNNNNNNNNNNNNNNNNNNNNNNNNNNNNNNNNNNNNNNNNNNNNNNNNNNNNNNNNNNNNNNNNNNNNNNNNNNNNNNNNNNNNNNNNNNNNNNNNNNNNNNNNNNNNNNNNNNNNNNNNNNNNNNNNNNNNNNNNNNNNNNNNNNNNNNNNNNNNNNNNNNNNNNNNNNNNNNNNNNNNNNNNNNNNNNNNNNNNNNNNNNNNNNNNNNNNNNNNNNNNNNNNNNNNNNNNNNNNNNNNNNNNNNNNNNNNNNNNNNNNNNNNNNNNNNNNNNNNNNNNNNNNNNNNNNNNNNNNNNNNNNNNNNNNNNNNNNNNNNNNNNNNNNNNNNNNNNNNNNNNNNNNNNNNNNNNNNNNGUAGUGCAAGAUCAACAAUGAAUAGUGGAGUCUGUAUCUCUGAUCCAAAUACGGGUGAUUACUAUGGAAGGAUUCAAGAAAUUAUACAAGUGGAAUACCGUAGAGCACCUUUAAAGCAAGUUAUGUUAUUCAAGUGUGAAUGGUUUGAUCCAGCAUUAAAUAUUGGUGUUAAGGUGCAUAAUCAGUAUAAAUUGGUCGAUGUUAAUCAUCGUCGCCGAUUUAAAAAAUAUGAACCUUUUAUUCUUGCGAUGCAAGCAACUCAAGUGUGUUAUAUGUCUUAUCCUAGCACAAAGAAGGACAAGGAUGAUUGGUUAGCUGUAUUAAAAGUCAACCCUCGAGAUGUCAUUGAAUUACCUGAUGAGGGAGUGAUCACAAUACCAGAACCAAAUCUUCCAUUUCAAGUUGAAGAAGUUGAAGUUCAUGAGAUAGAUAUGAAUAUUAUUGUUGAUGAAACUAUACUUCUGCAUGAUCCAAAUGGGGAGGCAAUUGAAAUGGAUGAACCAAUUGAUUAUGGAUUGUUUCCAGAGCAUCAUGAAUUAGAUGAAGAAUUUACAGAAGACGAGUAUGAAACUGAGAAUGAAUCUGAAGAGGAUGAUGAGGAGUUCGAAGAAGAAAUAGAUACAGACUAGUGUAUUGAUAGUAAUGUGCUACAAUGUCUUUAAUGACGUUUGUUUAUAGUAGUAUGUUUUGGAUGCUAUUUGUUUCUUGUGGAAAAACAGUGCUUACUGAUUGUUGUAUCUUUUUUGUGCUUUGUAGCUCUAAUUUCUUAAAGCUAUUAGUAUCUUUUUGUGUCUGACAUGCUUCAACUUUGGAUGAAAUUUUUCUAAAUGUACCUCCCUUUUAGCAUGAGCAAACUCAAGAAAUAAGAUAGUUGUUUAUAUAGUUGGAAGGCAUUCUCAAACUUCAGUUUUUCCUACUUCUGGACAUUCUCAAGUUCAGUUUGGUCCAUGACAUGUGUGAAAGAAUCUGAAUAUUUCUUAAAAGAGAGAAAUUCUUUAACUUAGAUUUGAUAAAUAUGAUUAACUUUGUUUUUUUUGUAGAUAUGACACGAGGCAGAGGUCGAGGUAACACAAGUCGUGCAAGCAAGAUGUCAAUUGGAGAUCGAGGUAGCACAAGCAAGUUAAUAUGCCCACUGUUCCUAUUCCCAUAACUAGUUCUCAACAAGGUGGUAUUAGUUCUUCUAGUGGACCAAAUAAUAUCAUUCAAGUUCAGACAUUAGUUCCUACUAUUUCUCCUCAUGUUCAAACAUUAGAUCAAUGUAGUACCCCAUCAGUUCAUCUUGAACCAGCCCCUGUAAUACCUAAUAGAAGCAAUGCAAUAGUUGAGGGUGCAUCUACUGAUCAGAGAAACGUAACAGGUGACUCUACAUCUAAUCAAAACAACACAAUAGGUGAAGGUGAGAGCAAUAGUAACCCUGAACAGCGGACGCUUGUUUUUCUUUCUGCUGCCGGGUUAGUGUGUGUUUGCACUAUUAUUAUUAAUAUACUGUGAAUUUCUGUAUCAAAGAGUUCAUAUAAUAUCUUCAAAUUUUUUUUCAGGUCAUAGGUGAGGGUGCAUCUACUGAUAAGAGAAACGUAACAGGUGACUCUACAUCUAGUAAAAACAACACAAUAGGUAAAGGUGAGAGCAAUAGUAACCCUGAACAGCGGACGCUUGUUUUUCUUUCUGCUGCCGGGUUAGUGUGUGUUUGCACUAUUAUUAUUAAUAUACUGUGAAUUUCUGUAUCAAAGAGUUCAUAUAAUAUCUUCAAUUUUUUUUCAGGUUGGAACCUUCAAGUACUUGCUCUAAUCGAAUAUGUGAGUCUUUCAAGAGUGAGCUUGAUCCCAAGGGAACUAAUUGGAAAAGUGUCCCACAAGAAACAAAAGAUUUUUAUCUAGGGGAAUUCGAGGUAUAAUAUUUCAGCAUUUUAAUUAAAAAGGUUCAUCAGUUUUAUAGUUUGGAUACUGAUGUUGUUAUUUAUAAAACUAUUUCAGAAGGAAUUCUAUUGGGAUCCAUCCAUUGAUAGUGAAGUGAAGAUACAAUGGCGAAGGAAGGCAGCGAGAAGGUACAGUGAUUUCAUUUCUGGCUUAAAAAAAGAAGGAAAACGGCCAAAAUAUAUUUCAGAAGAAAUAUGGGAAAGUUGGAUGAGUAUUUGGAAGAAACCUGAGGUUAUUGAAAAGUCAAAAAUAAAUUCAAGAAAUCGUUGUGGCGGUCAGGAUGCAGUUGCCAAAGGAACUCACACGGGAGGCUCUAUUACCAUUGGAGAGCAUCGUAAGAGACUUGUAAGUAUAUUUUCACGCACCCUUCAUUUACUUGUGUCACAGUGACUAUUUGCAAUUGAGUUAGCAUUCAAGUUUUAUCUCUAAGGAUUUUCUAGAAUUUUGUGAACAAGAAAAAACAUUUGUUAAUGUCGAUGUAGUGCUGAUGUAGAUGUGUCUCCUAGCUAACCUUACUUUGCUAUGAACUAACAGAUAUGGUCUCGAAUUACACUAUACCAUGCUUUUAUAUUUUCAUGUACUUUAAUUUUUUUUUCUUGUAUAGGCUAUUAAAAAUGGUCGCAAUCCAACACCAAGUGAGAUACAUUGCAUGUCCAUACACAUGGUCAUGAUGGAAAAUCUUUUGUUGGUGAACGAGCUCAAAUCGUGCAUGUAAUUUCAAUAUUCUUACUGCUGAUCCCAAGGUGCUUUCUAAUCUCUUCAUUUGUGGCUGGUGUUAUUAGUUUCAAUUGUUGUGUUCUUUUCAGUCUUGGUCCACUGCUCAUUAUAUCUCUUCUUACUGUUGAUAAUACAUGAGUUGAUGAUCCUAAUAAUGCCUAUAUCUCUUCUUACUUCUCAAAUAGUUUAGGAGAGUGGUUAACAUUGGAUGACUUGGUUUUCUCCAUUCCCUUAUGAUUAUUGGCAUGAAGCUUUUAUGAUCUGCUAAGUGGUUGAAAAAUCUGAAGCUUCUAGCCCCUUUUGGUGACAUCUCUUCAAAAGGGAAUGAAGAUUUCUUGUGAACUCGAUUUCUUAAUUUUAUAUUGUUGUUGUGUUUAUUUUAUACAAAUCUAGAUAAAAUGCUUUAUCUCGAUCUAGCAAACAUUCCCCUUUUCGAGCUUCAUUGUUAUUGUCGGUAUUGAUUUUGAUUGGAAUAAGUUGCAGGUGCUUCCCCUUUAUUUUCGUUCUAGCUUCUGUUAUUUUUUAUUUUGAUUUUGAUUGGAACACAAUUGAUCAGAGUAGCUAGACAUUGUAGUUAUUUCUAGUGUCAUUGCUGCUAGGACCAUAACAGAAGAUACAUGUAAGUCUUCCUGCAACAUACAGACCUUCUUCAGUAAUGGGUCUCCACUGCUCAACACAUGAAAAAUUAAUUCCCAGACCAACAUUAAGUCCUCUUAGGAUGUGCACUGUACGGAGAACAUAAAACAGUAUACGUAUAUUUAAUUCGCCAACUGGUUCAACUGGCAACUGUUAUCACCAUGUGAAUGAAGGAAAACCAAUGUUGUUAACUGCCAAUAUACUAUUGUUUCCAAAGGUGGGGACUUAUGGUUAGACAAUAGGAAAACUACUGAAGUUUACUAGGUGAAAGGCAUUAUCUGUGGUUUUGGAUUAUCACAAGUAAAAUUAUGGACUGGGAUCUUGACUGCAGCAACCUGGAAAAAAAGACAUUUUCCUUUCUGCAGCCUAGCAAAUUAGGAAAGAAAGAUCUAUGUUUUCUGACCCUCAGACUUAUCUGACCAUUCCUCAACUUCUCCAGCUCCUCUCCUAGAUUAUUUUUCACGAGAUCAACACGAGGACUAGUGUUGAUCUGGAAUUCUGCUUUCGAUACAUUUCAGUCAGUGCUUUUUAUGAGUUGUGUUCUCCUUCUCUAGACACUUAAGCCUGACAAAGAUAUUAGGAAUAGUAGAAGUAGGUGUUGCAGCUUAAAUAGUUGUUUCUCAAGUGCAGUUUUUUCAGAUUUCAAUAUUUGGUGUUGAUCUGGAAUUCCGCUUUCGAUAUUUGAUGUUGGUUUUGUUCAAAAUUUACUCAUGUGAACUUUGUUUUGCAUCUUAGACCUUUUUUAAAUGCAUAAUUUUUUAAACACAUGAGAACUCAUUGCUGUUAGUUGAGUCUGGAUGUGUCUAUUGUUGUUAUAAAUAAACAAUUUCACUAAUUUUCACUCUUUUGCAGGAAAAAUAUCAAGAAAUAUUACAGAACCAAACACAAACUCAAUCUGAAGUUGAUCAAUGGAAAGCAUAUUAUCAAGCAGCGGGAGGGGAAAAGAAAAGAAGGAUAUAUGGUCUUGGAGCUCAAGCAAAAGUAUUUUAUGGACCAAACUUUCGUGUCUCUUCUGGAUCUGAUGCUUCUGGCUCAGUACCAUGUCCAAAUGCUCAAACAACACCGACAGAAAUAUGGAUGAGUUAGUGGUGCGAAUGAUUCCUUCGCUAACUAAUCACUUGCUUCCUAUAUUUGUAGAGCAGAUACGUGGUUUGAUUUCUCCAGCCUCAUCUCAACCAGACUCAGCUACCAACCAUCCAUCAACUAUUGCACCUGUAAUUCCUGCUCCAACUGCAAAAAAUAUCGAUGAGGAUCGUGCAUCGCUUUCUGAGGAAUGAUUGUGGCUCUCUAGUCUCUCUUAGUUAGUUUUUGUUAGCUAGAUUUUGUUGCAAAUGCUUUCAGCUAUAUAUUUUGCUUGAAAUUUAUCAUUGGGGAUAUUUUGAACUUGGUAAUAUCAUUUGCACUUAGCUAUGUACUUUGGAUCUUGUACAAUAUUAAUUUCUACGGAUUAAGUUAAUUUUAUGAUUAUAUAAUGUGUUGAAAUGUGUAUUUAAUUACACAAAUAAAAAAAUAUUGAUAGAUUUGUGACAAAUUAUUUUCGUCGCUAAAUGAAUGGAGAUGAAAUUAGCAACAAAAUAUUUGGUCGCCCUAUAUGAAUGAAACGAUGAAAUAAUAUAUAAAAUAGAGGGAUAAAAUUUAAAAUACACGAUGGAUUUUUUGUCGCUAAAGAAAUUGGUGACGAAAUUAGCGACAAUAAUUUGGUCGCCAAUAUGUUGAGACGACGAAAUAAGUUACAAGAACAACGACAUAAAUUACAAAAUAGUGACAGAUUUUUCCGUUGCUAAUCUUGCCAACGGAUAACUUUCGUCGCAAAUCCGUCGCUCAGUUUGUGACGGAUUCAAUUUUUUUGUCGCUAAAUGGUUAGCUACGCGCAAUAUAGAGACGAACAAUAUUUUGUCGCUAUUCCGUCGCUAAACCAAAAUAGCGACAAAAUAAUCUAUUUAGCGACCAAUUUUGCUUGUAGCUAAACACAGUUUUUUUUUGUAGUGCCAAGUUAUGUGCUAAAAGUUAUUUCCAUUUUACUAGGCACUAUGUAUUUCGUGCGAUCUGCCGCUCGAAGAGGACAUUAGCUGCGCGGUAAGGUCAAUGCUGCGGGUUAGGCCAAUUUCAAUCAUUUUAAAAAUUGGACUAAUUUUCUAGUAACGCAAAUGAUAGAAUGACCACUUUGCCUAAUUACCCUAUUAUAUGUGAGGAAAAUUGAUACUAAUUUAAAAAGGCAUAUGUGUACUAACAGUUAAUAGAAAUAAAAGAUACUCCAUUAUUACUACUCUGUUAUUGUAAUAACUGUUCUUCUAGUCAUAUACAGUAGAGGUUGACGUUCGGUUGUUUAGUUUUAUUUUAUCAAAUUUUGGUUUAGUUCUUCGAUUUUCGGUUUUGAAAAAAUGUGCACUUCAAUUUGAUUUGAUUCGGUAUUUUUAAAACGAUUUUUUGGUGCAUAUGAAUAAUAAAAUGAGAACAAAAUUAAAGUAUAUAUAAGUAAUAAUGUGUCUCAUGAUGAAACAUUGUGCCUCUAACUAUUACUCAAGGAAAAUAAGGAACAAGACCGUAUAAAUCUGGAUUAGUUGGACUUUGAUGCGAAUAAAUGAGAAAUAAUAAUAAAAAAAUGAUAUUCUAGAUAUGGAUAGCUUACCUGUUUCCUUUGGCAUUCUAAAUCAGUUGAGUAUUUACUUUAAAAACAACCUAAAUUCCGUUCGGACAUCGUAAGCACGGUCCUCAGCAAAGAGGACACGUAGAGAACUAUUUUUAUUUAUUUAAUUUUUAAUUUUUUUUAAAUUUUUUUUAAAACACGUAGAGAACUAGAAUUGUCAUGCUUUCUAUUUAUUUCAUCACAAAAAACUCCUAAUUUCUCCUGCAAUUUCCCUAUGUCUCCACACUGAUUUUCUUGCUUAUCUGGUAAGUUUUUAUCUCUUAUUAAUUCCUUCUUCUAAUACAUUACUUGUAUUCUUGCUAUACAUAAUAAGGAAAUGAGGAAAUUUUUUAUAAUGGUAGAGGUCCAACCAACAAUAGUUGUGUGACUUUCCAUUGAUUAAUUGACAUUUGGAUAAUGUGUCUAUUUCUUCACCUUUUUACCAUCUCUCCAAAUUUUUUUAUAAUGGUAGAGGUCCAACAACAAUAGUUGUGUGACCUUCCAUUGAUUAAUUGACACUUGAAUAAUGUGUCUAUUUCUUUACAUUUUUACCAUCUCUCUCCGAAAAUUUUUAUAAUGGUAGAGGUCCAACCAACAAUAGUUGUGUGACCCUCCAUUGAUUAAUUGACACUUGGAUAAUGUGUUUAUUUCUUUACCUUUUUACCAUCUCUCUCCUUCUCACCCUUCUUUUCAUUCAUUUUCUUAUUUUCUUACUCCUAAUAAAUAUUUCUUAAUUUAAGUUAUAAUUUUUUAAAAUACUUAAUAGAAAAACGUUAGAAAAUAUAUAUUAUAACUGAAUGUACGUAAAGACACGAAAAAUGAAUUCUAAUAAUAUUAAGGUUGAAUGAUAUUAUUAUUAUUAUUAUUAUUAUAUUAUAAUAAUAAUAACAAUAACAAUAAUAAUAAUAAUAAUAAUAAUAAUAAAAAUCUUAUCAAAUCAAUUUAUAUGCUAAAGUAAAUUAGUUUGUAUUUUGAGUUAAUUUGAUUCUAUUAAAUAUACUGAAAAAUAAGUUUAUUUUUAAUGUUAACAAUUUUAUAAGUGUUUAAGUUAUUUUAACAGAAAAUGUAUUUAUCGAUAUUUUUUUUAAUCAAAUGUAUUAAUUAUUUAAUUAUGUUUUGAGAAUUAGAUAUUUAUUUGGAGAAAAAAAAUGAACGAAAAGAGAGGUGAGUAAGAGAGAUGGUAAAAAGGUAAAGAAGUGGACCCAUUAUCCAAGUGUCAAUUAAUUAAUGGAGGGUUACACAACUAUUGUUGGUUGGACCUCUACCAUUGUAAAUUUUUUCAGGAAAUGAGUAUGUAAAAACAAUAACACUCACUCUUUUGUAUUCAAAUAAUCAACACGAAAACAUGUUGUACUACAACAUUCAUGUCAUUUUUAUAGGGAAAAAGGUCUGAUAUAUCCAUUAACUUUGUUAUUUUGAGUUGAUAUAUCCCUCGUUAUAAAAGUGACUCAUAUAUACUCUUACUGUUAUACAAAUGACUCACACAUACCCCUUUCCUCUAACGGAAGUGAAAAAAUUAAUUUUAUUUUAAUAUUUUAAUUAUUUUUUUGAAAAAAAUAUAAUCCACGGUAUAUGGAUUAUACCCCACACAUAUAGGAUAUAUUUAAUACCCCUCACACGUAUUUUUUAUUUUAUUUUAAUGACUAAUUUAAAUUUAUUAUUUUGAUGGUCAAAUUUAUUUAUAUUUCACUAAUUUUCUUGUAAAAUUUAUUAUAGAUGCCCCAUUUUUUAUUUUUACAAAUACAAAAAACUAAAUUACAAUAUAGCCGUAAAAAAUAGUUUUAAAUUUUUUCUUUACACUAAAGAAUGAAAGAAAAAAGAAUAAGAAACUCAGAUAAUGAUAAUCUAAGAAGUCAAAAAAAAAUUGUAUGAAAAAGAUUAAAAUUUACCUUGAAAUUUGCUAGGAAGGAUCAUAUAUAUACCUCUACAUGAUUUUUUUUUUAAAUUGAAAGUAAAAUAAAAUAAAUGUAAGACUAUUUUUUUCAGUUCUGUUAGAUGAAGGGUAUAUGUGAGCUCAUUUUGUAACGGUAAGGGUAUAUGUGAGCCAUUUGUAUAACGGUAAGAGUAUAUAUGUGCCACUUUCAUAACGAUGAGUAUAUCGGCUCUAAAUGACAAAAUUAAGGAGUAUAUCAGACCCUUUUUCCUUUUUUUAUAUGAGCUAGUUUGACUUGACACAGAAUUUUAAGAAAAAAAUGAAGAAUUGUGGUCUAAAAUAAGUGAUAGAUAUUUGUGUGACUAUACAUAAUUUCAUUAAAGGUAAAAUAAGAAUUCUUAAUUGUUACUUAAUAUAAAAAUGUGUCAUUCUUUUUGGAUCCACUAUAAACGAAAGUAAGUCAUAUAAAAUGAAACAGAGUAACAAUUCUUAAUUUCAUCACUAUUUAAUUAACUAUUAUAGUUUGCAACCAUUUAUUUCACAUACGCAUAUUGUUAAGCUUGAAGAACUUGUCAAAUGUAAGAGUUUUAGUAUUCUAACCAAAACUAGUUGUAGAUUCAUAGUGAACAUACUGUAUAAAUGGAUCUCAGUGAUGAUUAAAAACUCGUCUUGCUUCUGAAUCGAACAUGCAACGAAAAUAUUGUACUAGUAAUAUUUAACGUAUCAACCUGAAUUUUGCUCGCCCUGCCCUGCAUAGCUUCAUUUAGAAUUUCAGUUGUAGUUCACCCGCCCCGCCCCGCCCCGCCCCGUAUGCGUUGUUAAUUGGUUGAGGAUAUUGUUGUCAACAGAUAUACUAGUAUCAAGUGAAGAUGUUAGGCUGUUCAAAAUACAAGUUCCUUUCACUUGUUUUGAUGUUACUGCUAAUAAUGGUUGAUCCAAGUUCACAAUCUCAAGUAAAAGAAGAAAACGGAGUUAAAUCUGCUGUCUUUCGAUCACCAACGAUUAUGCUGGAACCUGGAUCUGUCUCUAACAAGUAUUACAACAACAUUGACUUCCCUAAAGGCCAUAUUGCUGUCAAAAGUUUUGUUGCUGAAGUAGUUGAUGAGGCAGGGAAUUCGGUACCCCUCUACGAGACAUAUCUUCACCACUGGGUUGUUGUAAGAUAUUAUUAUCGAAAAGGUGUGGGGUUCAAUCAAUCAAAUUUUAUUGUCAAAAGAAAUUCAGGGAUAUGUGAUGAAGGCCUUCCUCAAUAUUUUGGCCUUGGAUCAGAGACCCGAAAAACAAUCACCUAUGUUCCAGACCCUUAUGGAAUAGAAGUUGGUAAUCCAGUCGAAGUACCUCCUGGAUACGAGGAAAGAUGGUUGUUCAAUAUACAUGCAAUUGAUACAUGAGGUGCGGAAGAUAGAUUGGGAUGCAUUGAAUGCAGGUGUGAUCUUUAUAAUGUUACCAAGGACGAGAAUGACCGAGUGAUAGAGCUAGAUUACAUCGGAGGCUUGAGAUGUUGUUAUGAUGAAACAAGAUGCAGGGUGAAAGACGGAUUCUAUGGAUCGAGGAGAAACCUGUACCUGAAGUACACAGUGAAGUAUAUUGAUUGGGUUGCCUCCCUUGUGCCUGUCAAAAUUUAUAUACUUGAUAUCACUGAUGCAUGGAAAAAGCCAGAAAAAUCGACUGCCACUGUGGCAAGACAUCACUGCCAGGUGUGAAUGAUAAUUCAGCUCAUAGCUGAAAUCAUUUUUAACUCUUUGCUACUACCUAAAUAUAUCUGGUUAAUAGUUAGUUAAUUUCUUUUACUUCAGAUAGAAUAUUUAGUGGAAUCAUGUGCUGCAUCUGUUGCAAAUGUCGAUUGCACUCAUACAAAGAAGAUAAGCAUAACUUUUCCUAGUGGCGGAGAUAUCAUCUACGGAACUGCACAUCAACAUACAGGAGGGACUGGGAUGGCACUCCAUGGAGAGGUACUCUGAGCUAUUAUAUUUUGUUUCUUUGGUCAUGUUCUGCUUACAAUCUGGAUUACUUGUAUACAUUUCUUAUAGAUUUUCAGAUGAUGAACCUACUGAUAAAAACAGAGGUAUUUGUACAAAAAGCUUUUUCUUUUAAUCACCGUCGAGUGUUUAUUGUGUUUUGAUUAUCACACUAUGUUGUGUUCUUGUUCAUCUAUUGUAGGAUUUGCAUUGUUUCCCUUGUUGUUGGCUAUGUUUCUUAUAUUUAUUUAAUUAUUGUACUUGGAUUUGCUACAUUUGAGCCGAGAGUCUUUCACAAACAGUGUCUCUAUCUCCACGAGGUAGUGGUAAGGUUUGCGUACAGUCUACCCUCCCCAGACCCCACUUGUGGGACUACACUGGUGAUGUUGUUGUUGUUGUUGUUGAUACUUGGCUUGUUGCAUGCAUCUUAACACUGGUUGAUCGAAUCCAUAUCGAAUUUCAUUCUCUUAACAUCAGAUAAAAGAAGUGUUGUUAGCAUUCAUUUCAUGACAUGAUUGUCAUACUUCAGAAGAUUAUUUGGUUGAGUUUGGUGUUGAUUAUUUUCUUAAUUUCUUCUUCUCUGAUUCCACGGCACUGGUCUAGGAUGGACAUGUCAUAUGCUCGUCUCUUCCAAUAUAUGGGGAAGGAAAGGAACCAGGAAAUGAAGCUGGUUACAUUGUCGGUAUGUCUAGUUGUUAUCCUAUACCUGGCUCUAUCAAGAUCUCGGAAGGGGAGACUGUAACUUUACUGUCAAACUAUAGCAAUGCCCAGAGGCAUACAGGAGUGAUGGGGUUGUUCUAUCUCUUGGUUGCUGAACCAUCAUCGAAGCCUAACUCUAUCCUGAGUCUAUACUGAUAUGAGGUUCCCUCCAUUUGGUAACUGUGGUCCCUUCUUUUUGGACACGUGUGUUGCACUUGUAUGUCAAGUUACCAAAUUACAUGAAUUUGUAAUAUAAUGUCAAUAUUACUAAAAUAAACUUUGAGUAAAUGAUGGUAUAUAUUAUCCAUAUUAAUUAAGUACAAGUGUUUGUGAAUGACAUAUCUUUGGAUCUUUGUAUAGUGAAAUGUUUAUCAAUGUUAAGAUGACGGAAAAUUAUCUGAAUUUACGUAUGAAUGACAGAGAAAAAAAGAAAGGAUAAUAUCUGGUUUCAGACACUUUGAUGCAAUUCUAUGAUUUUGGUAUAAAGAAAAAAGAAAGGAUUCAAGAAUGUGCAGAUUCACUCCUGGAUGUUUACGAAGAAUGCAGAUACAAUUUUUCGUCACCCACAGGAUGUUCAUGUUCGUAUGAGAGUUGAUUUAUAUUUAUCAUUAUCUAUUCAUUGAACUUCGCCAAAUGAUGUAAAUUAACUCAUUGAGAACGUGUUGUAUUGUAUACACAUUUUUGGAUAGUCGUACUGUGUAUACUCAUAUGGGAUUUUUAUUUCCUUUAUGAAGAGGUCAAGAAAAGGAAUGAAUCCAGACAAUAAUAUGAAUACUUCUUUUUGAGAUACUAGAAUCAUUUUUCCCUCAAAGUCUCGACGGUAAUUAAGUUGUACUCAAUUUUACACUAGUGAGGAUGAUAGAAAAGCUGGUGGAUUCAUUGCUAAAUUCAAAGAACAGAUUAGGCAUUAAAAAAUUGAAUCAUUUAGAUGAUAAAGCACAAUCAAUUUUGCAUUGUCCACUAAGAAUCAGAUUACAAUAAAAAUGCCUGUAAAGAAGCAGUAACAAGUAACAACAUCCUAGCCUUAGAGAAAAAGCAUUUGAGCCUCUUUGAGUACAUACUAACCUUACUGCUUCCUUUUGAAGUUUGGUUACAAGAAUUAAAUUAGAUACCACACAAGGUGAAUUCAUGGACAAGAGGUGAAAUAAUAUCCCUAAUCUCUUCCAACGCUCGAGCAUUCUUGUCAAUGGAACUGCUAAGAGAAGUCCAUUUCUGCUUAAAAUCAGCAGCAAACUUUGGACUAACUACACAGAGAGUGUUGUACAGGUCUUUGAUGUUAUUCUUGAAUGGAGUUCCAGACAAAAGUAUGCGCUUCUCUGUUUCAACCUUUCUCAAAGCUUUCCACACAAGACUCUGCUCAUUCCAACCAUUCAGCCCUUCUUCAAGGACCAGAAGACCAGGAGAUUUUAGAAGUAUUUCUCUAGUCUCUUUGGCAUAACCCUCUCCAUCUUCUCCUGUGAGAAUUCUGAACAAGUCAUAACUGAUUCCCAAAACACUCUGACUUUUCGCCCAAGAUUGCAGCUUCACCAUGCGUUUAAGGUGUGGAUUUUUUUUCACAGCAUGGGAUAAACAGUUAAAGACACCAACAGUACCUUCAUCUUCCUUUAAAGAGAAGUCCUUGUUGUUCAAGUUGUGGAAGGGAAUGUCCACCGCCCAUUUCUGGAACUCGGCUUCCCAUUUAAGAAGCAAAUUGGAUGGAGCUAUGAUUACAGGCCGACACUGUGGGAACAACUUCAGAAAUGACUGAAGAAACACUAUGGUGAGUCGGGUUUUUCCGGUGCCUGGUGGGUGUGAGAUAAUGCAUCCUCCCUUACUCACAAAUAGGGGCUCUCUCAGCCUCUCAAGAGUUAUAUCUCCAGCAAUGUUGUUCCACAUGAACUCAAAUCCUUCACAUUGAUGAAAAUACAUUGUCGCUUUGGCAAUUUGGUGAACUAAAUCCCACACGGUUCCUUCUCCAUAAAAAUCAGAAACUCUGAAGCCAUGAACAUCCAAGAGUGAUGGCGACUCUUCAAAAUAUUUUCUUUCGUACCUCCCUCGAGUUCUCUGAGCCUGCAGAUGACACAAAAGUUCAAGAAUUUAAGAGUGAACCAUAAAUAAAUUGGAGAACAAAGUUCAAAAAAUAUUUGAAAAGAAAAGUGCUUGAUAGGACAAAACUCGUAUACUUACAAAAGGAGGGCAGAUGUACUUGCUCUCCAAAUGGACAUAUGGACAAACUGAACAGAUGAGUCCAAUUUGUUCAUCUAGAACAAGAUGGUGGUUCUCCAUCUGACAAUCACUUAGUUGUCCACUCUGCAUCGGCGAAACAGAUGGAUUUGUAAAGCCAAUAUGUAAUUCUUCGAUACACAUGUUCAUUUCAACAAAAAGAUUGUCAAUCUCCUUUUCCCAUUCUUCUUUCUCCAGAGGAAGAGGUUCCUGGUCUUCAAAUCCGAGUAUUAAAGGAAGUGUUUCUUUGACAAAAACAUGUUCCUUCUUUUCAGGAGGAGUGACUUUAUUAUGAUCAUUGACAUUUUUUAUUGAUUUAACAAUAAACUUCAGAAACUCAGACUCUUCAAGAAUCUUCUUUCGAUUCUUUCGAAGAGCAUCAGUUGAAGAUCUGAAUUCUGACUCGGAACAUGAGGUUGUAUCAGUAAACUCUUUGGAUUCGAUUGCCGCCCUAAACAUGCUUGAAGUAGAAGGAACAACCUCAUAUGUUACAUUCAACAUCGGAGCAGGCUUCUCCCUAAUGACAACAACAUCAGGAUCACUCUCCUCCUCCUACACCCUCUAAUGGUAACAACAUCAGGAUCACUCUCUUCCUCCCCCUCCUCCCUAAUGAUAACUACAUCAGGAUCACUCUCCUCCUCCUCUUCCUCCUCCCUAAUGAUAACAACAUCAGGAUCACUCUCCUCCUCCUCCUCCUCCCUAAUGAUAACAACAUUAGGAUCACUCUCAUCCUCCUCCUCAUUCUCCCUAAUGAUAACAACAUCAGGAUCACUCUCCUCGUCCUCCUCCUCCUCCUUAAUGAUAACAACAUCAUGAUCACUCUCCUCCUCCUUUUCCUCCCUAAUGAUAACAUCAGGAUCACUCUCCUCCUCAUCCUCCUUCUUCUCCUCAUCCUCCUCCUCCUCCUCCUCCCUAACAACAUUAGGACCAUUUUCCUCCUCCUCCUCCUCGCUAAUGAGAACAACAUCACCAUCACUCUCCUCCUCCGACGAAUCUGCACCAUCAUCAGAUACUUCUUCAACGAAAGGUUGAUUCGUGAAGGACUCACGAGUUCCUGGACUGAACUUUCUCUGCCCAUUGUUUUCCACAUUUCUCUCGUCACCUCCGGAAGGCUCCAUAUUUUUUCUUUUCCUUCCACAACUAAUAUUCGUAGGAUUACCACUUUGACUCACUCUGUUCCUCUUUUGGUUGUGAUGUAAAGUAGGUGUCAUUAGUGUUAAUAGUUAGUUAGUUACAGAAAGGGCAAAUUAGUCUAUCAAGAAGAGUUAGUUAUAACUAACUCAAUAUGCUGUUAUUAAAGGAAGGUACAAGGAUAGCUCUAUAAAUAGCUACUCCUCAUUGUAUUUUUGCUUUAAGUCAAUAUAUGAAAUCUUCUCCUCUCUUCUUCUUCUUUUUCAUUCUCUUCUCUAAAUCUUCCAUUCAUGAUUGAGCUUCUUUAGUUUACGAACAUGGUAUCAGAGCUUUGUGCUUUAGUCUGAUUAAGAACUGAAGUCGGUAUUGUUCAAAGGAUCAAAGAAUCAAUUGACUGAUUCAUCGAUUCAUGGAAGUGUGUUAAAGAUCGUUACAGAUCGUAGCUUGAAAUAAGGCUGGAAUCUGUUUUGUUUGUGUUUGAACUGUUAGCUAUAUUGUUAGCUAUUUGUUUCCGCGAUUUGAAGUUCAAUCUGAUCAUAAAUGGCACCUGAAAGUAAUUCAACUGAUCUGCCUCAAAAUGGAUCUGCAGCUUUUGUUUCUCAAACUAACAGUUCAGUGCAAGGACAAGGUAUUGAUUAUAAUCAUCCUCUGUUUCUUAAUCCUACUGAUGUUAGUGGUAUUAACUUGAUUUCGUUUCAACUGCUUGGUAUUGAAAAUUAUAUGCUAUGGAGUAGAUCUAUUCGUUUAGCAUUGUUAGGAAGAAAUAAGCUUGGGUUAAUUGAUGGAACUGUUAGAAAGGAAAUGUAUGGUGUAGAAUUGUGGGGACAUUGGGAAAGGGUGAACGCAAUAGUGUUGUCCUGGUUGUUGAACUCUGUGUCCAAAGGUUUGUUGAGUGGUCUUGCAUUUGCCUCUAGUGCAUUUGAUGUUUGGACUGAUCUUAGAGAAAGGUUUGAUCGAGUAGAUGGCUCUAGAACCUAUAGUUUGCACAAAGACAUAUCUUCUAUACAACAGGGUACUGCAUCUGUUUCUGAGUAUUACACAAGGCUUAAAACUCUGUGGGAUGAGUUUGAGAUAUUAGUGCCAGCUCCUUGUUGCAAUUGUGAGAUUUCAAAAGGAUUUGUGACUCACAUGAACAGACAGAAGGUAUAUCAGUUUUUAAUGGGGUUGAAUGAAUCCUAUCAACAAGCCAGGAGUCAGAUUCUUAUGCUAGAUCCAUUACCAACAAUUAAUCAUGUGUAUUCUAUGAUAGUUGGAGAUGAAUGUCAAAAGGCUGUGGUAACCUGUACUACUAGUUUGGGAAUGGCAUCUAUUAGUUUGGAUUCCUCUGUAGCUAUGUACUCAAAAGCUGGUAAUAGUUCAGGUGUUGGUAGUAGCUCGGGUAUGAAUCAGAAGUUCAAAAGGAAUUCCCUACUAAUAUGUGAUUUUUGCAAGUGUAAGGGUCAUAGCAAAGAGUUUUGUUACAAAAUAGUGGGUUAUCCUCCUGAUUUUAAAUCCAAAAGGAAGGUACAAGGGGGGUCUAGUCCACAGGCUAGCAGUCCUUCCGGCCAUUAUCCAUCAGCCCAUGCUAACUUUACAUAUGGUCUCAAUACAAAUAUUCCUCCACCUGGCUGGGGAAUCUCACUUAACCAACAACAUCUUAUGCAUGGUUCUGCUCCUGCUCCUGAAGUGUCAUCUACUGCUACUUCAAACAGAAUAAGUCAAGCUGAGAGAGAGGUUCAACAGAUGCUACAUGGGUGCACAUUUACAAAAGAUCAAUAUGAUCAUAUUUUGAAGAUGGUUCAACAGAAAUCAGAUGCUUCUACUGUUUCUGCUUGCAACACUGCUAGUACUUCAGGUAAAACUUCUUCUGUUAUUGAUCACAGUCAAGUAUGGAUUGUUGAUACAGGUGCGACAAAUCAUAUGGUCUCUAGCUUGGACAUGAUGGUGGAAGAUUCCGUGUCAAAGCUUGCAGAAGUUAAACCUGUGUACCUACCAAAUGGUACUACCACACAAGUUUCUCAUGUUGGUUCAUGUGCUUUAUCAGCCAGAAGUCUGCUCACUAAUGCAUUGCAUGUUCCUGACUUCAAGUACAAUCUGUUAUCAGUCAGUCAACUCACAAAGGAGUUAGGGUGUUCUGUCACAUUCUUUCCUAACUUUUGUGUUUUCCAGGAGCUCUGCAGUGGGAAGGUGAAGGAAGUUGGUAAGGAAGAAGGUGGUUUGUAUCUUUUAAUGAAGCACUUCACCAAUAAAAGUGAUUCCAGUACUGGCAAAGAAGUGGCAUUUACAGUUAAUAAUACACAGGCAGUAGACAUGGAGUUAUGGCAUCGAAGAUUGGGACAUGUGUCUUCUGCAGUUCUUGCGAGAAUGUUUGCUAUGAGUCACCACACUAUGUGUAAAGUGACUAAUUGUUCUGUAUGUCCUUAUGCUAAACAAACCAGAUUAGUUUUUCCUGUGAGCAGUAUCAAAACUACAGCUUGUUUUGAAUUAAUACAUGUUGAUGUUUGGAGACCCUAUGCUACACCUACUGUUGAUGGUAGCAAGUAUUUUCUUACCAUUGUUGAUGAUUUCUCUAGAAUGACAUGGUUAUUUUUGCUUAAACAUAAGUCAGCUGUGUGUGUUUCUAUCAAAGAAUUCCUUUUGUUUGUUAAAACUCAGUUUGGGAAAUCAGUCAAAAUAUUGAGGUCUGACAAUGGUACUGAGUUUGUGAAUUCAGUGUGUGUAAGUAUGUUCAAGGAAAUGGGCAUUCUGCAUCAAAGAUCAUGUCCUCAUACUCCUCAGCAAAAUGGUGUUGCUGAAAGAAAACAUAGACAUUUACUUGAGGUCACACGAGCUCUCAGAUUUCAAGCUAAUAUACCAUUAAGAUAUUGGGGUCAGUGUGUGUUAACUGCCGCUUAUCUCAUUAACAGGUUACCUAGUAAUGUACUUCAGUAUGAGACACCUUAUGAGAGACUGUAUGGUCGACAACCAGUUUUGACUCACCUCAAGACUAUAGGAUGUUUAUGCUUUGCGAAACAUUUGACUGAACAUGACAAAUUAAUGCCGAGGGUCAGGUCUGCAGUUCAUAUGGGAUAUUCUGAAAUUCAGAAAGGUUACAUUCUACUGGAUCUCAGUAAAAAUUCAUUUUUUGUAAGUCGAGAUGUGAUUUUUAGAGAGGAUCAAUUCCCUUUUGCACAGGUGCCUAGUUCUGAUCAGGAGAAGUUGUUUCCAGAAUCUCUACCUGAUUUUGCAGUCACUCCUCAUCUAGAAUACAUGUUAUCCCUUCAGUGUCCUUCCACUGCAUGUCCUUCUACAGUUCAACAUGAUGAGUCUGCGUUGCCUUUAAGUACUACACUACCUAGUCCUGAGGUGGCUCCUGAUGAAGUAGUAUCAGAUUUUAUUACGGAUGGUUCUGGGUUGGUUUCUGAGUUUAGAAGAUCAUCUAGACAUAAACAGCCUCCCGUUUGGAUGAAGGACUUUGUCUCAUGUCCUCUCAAUAAGGUUGUUCCCCACUCCAUUUGCAAUAAUAUAAGCUAUGAUCAUCUCUCUUCUUCAUACCAGUCCUACAUUGCUGCUACUUCUAUAAUCAAAGAACCCGAUACCUAUUCUGAAGCUGUGAAAGAUCAAAGGUGGGUGGAUGCUAUGCAAUCUGAAAUUCAAGCUCUUGAAAGUAAUCAUACUUGGGAGAUCACUGAUCUACCACCUGGCAAGAGACCUAUAGGUUGUAGAUGGAUUUACAAAGUCAAGUAUAAAUCUACUGGUGAGGUUGAACGAUUUAAAGCUAGGUUGGUGGCUAAGGGGUAUAGCCAACAGGAAGGGAUAGAUUACAAGGAGACUUUUUCCCCGGUUGUUAAGAUGGUCACAGUCAGAACCAUUGUGUCACUUGCAGCAUCCAGGCAUUGGCAUAUUCAUCAAAUGGAUGUGUUUAAUGCCUUCUUGCAUGGUGACUUAGAUGAUGAGAUUUAUAUGCAGUUGCCAAAGGGUUUUGUCCGUCAAGGGGAGAAGGUAUGUAGGCUGACCAAAUCCCUUUAUGGUCUCAAACAGGCCCCUAGACAGUGGAAUCAUAAACUGACUGAAGCACUGCUUAAACUGAGGUUUCAGCAAAGUCAACAUGAUCAUUCCUUGUUUAUUAACAAAGCAGAAGAAGGGAUCAUUAUAGUACUUGUGUAUGUGGAUGAUAUGUUGAUAACUGGCAGUAGUCUAAAGCUGAUAGAAGACACAAAGAGGGCACUGCAACUAGCAUUCAAGAUGAAGGAUCUGGGUGAGUUGAAGUACUUCCUAGGAAUUGAAUUUACUAGAUCAACAGAUGGCAUACUAAUGCAUCAAAGAAAGUAUGCUCUUGAGCUUAUAUCUGAGGUGGGCUUAUCAGCAGCCAAACCUGCAGGAACCCCUAUUGACAUCAAUGUUAAACUAACAUCAAAAUUAUAUGAUGACCAUGUAAAGAAGGGACAGGCAGAGACAGAGGAUCCCUUGGUAGAUCAAAUAAUGUAUCAAAGAUUAAUAGGCAAGUUGCUGUAUUUGAAUAUGACAAGACCUGAUAUAACAUUCAGUACACAAACUCUUAGUCAAUUCUUAAAACAACCAAAGAAGUCACAUCUUGAUGCUGCACUAAGAGUGGUCAGAUAUAUAAAGAGACAACCUGGACAGGGUUUGUUAUUAUCUAGUAACUCAGAUGAGUUGGUGACUGCCUUCUGUGAUGCUGAUUGGGCUUCGUGUAUGUUAACUAGAAAGUCUGUAACAGGGUAUAUGGUGAAAGUUGGUCAGUCGUUAGUCUCUUGGAAGGCAAAGAAACAAACAACAGUGUCGAAAAGCUCAGCUGAAGCUGAAUAUAGGAGCCUUGCCUCCACUGUAUCAGAGUUAGUAUGGUUGGUUGGAGUGCUGAAGGAAGUAGGAGUUGAAGUUCAAUUCCCAGUCCAAGUGUACAGUGACAGUAAAGCAGCAAUCCAAAUUGCUGCAAAUCCAGUAUACCACGAAAGGACAAAGCAUAUCGAAAUCGAUUGCCACUUUAUAAGGGAGAAACUACAACAAGGUUUAAUCAACCUGAACUAUAUUUCUACAAGAGAUCAGCCUGCAGACGUCUUGACCAAAGGAUUAUCUAGACUUCAACAUGAACACCUACUAUCCAAGCUAGGAGUGCUAAACAUUUUUGCACCACCUAGUUUGAAGGGGAGUGUUGUGAUGUAAAGUAGGUGUCAUUAGUGUUAAUAGUUAGUUAGUUACAGAAAGGGCAAAUUAGUCUAUCAAGAAGAGUUAGUUAUAACUAACUCAAUAUGCUGUUAUUAAAGGAAGGUACAAGGAUAGCUCUAUAAAUAGCUACUCCUCAUUGUAUUUUUGCUUUAAGUCAAUAUAUGAAAUCUUCUCCUCUCUUCUUCUUCUUUUUCAUUCUCUUCUCUAAAUCUUCCAUUCAUGAUUGAGCUUCUUUAGUUUACGAACACUUUUCAAUUAUCUCCAUCAUAUAUUUUAAAGAUUGUUGUCUGGUCCUCCUUUUUGAAACAGAGUCACUCCCUGAAUCCAUCUUCCGCACCUGGUUCAAACUACAUAAUUUUUAUUAUCAAUCAAAAUGAACAAGAAUAAGAGAUAACUCUAUUUACAAACACUAACCUGAAUAAAGAAAACUUUUUAUGCCAGAAAAUCAAGAAUCGAAAGCUUUGAAUUCUUGAAACUAUAAUAACAGAGUAAUAAAGGCUGAUGAGUUUGAAAUUGAAUGCAUUGAAACUUUUUUAUAUAGAAUGAGAUAAGAGUAACAGAACAAAAGAAAUGUGACUUAUAUGAGUAUUUUAUGCGUGAGAGAAAAACGAGAAAAGAGAGGAAAAACAAAUAUUUAUGAAAAGUGUGUGCAAUUUGUGACAGAUUAGAAUCUUCCAACAAAUCAUGAUGAUGUAAAGUGUGAACGUUAACACUUCCAACUGCAUCAUGUGAAUUCACAGUCAAAAUUUGUGUGUCUUCAUCAGCAAGGGUAUUUUUGUGAAAAAAUAUUUUUGUUGUUCCACUUUAAUUUAAUUAGUGUACAACUUUUCCAAAAUUGUGAAAACCACUUUAGCUAUGCCAUUAGUUUUAAUUCAUAUCAUUUAGUUAUCCCUUUAUUACUUUGAAUGUCAAUGUUAUUUGUGUAAAUUAUGUAAUUACUUUGAGUAAAAAACUGUCGAUCAAUGAAGAAAAAUGUAUACUUUAAUUAUGGAAAUCCGUAUGCGUCCCCCCCUUCCCCACAUUAAGUUUUGGAAAAAAUGAGAUCAAUGAUUACAGACCACUGAUAUAAAAGAUUUUGGGAUUGUUUACAACCUAGAUAAAGCAAAUGAUGAUUCGGUGAUGUGUCGAAUGGAUCGACGAUCACGACCCAGCUCGCCUAAACUUCCAGAACAAUUGGAUGUAGGAGUCAAGCCAAAAGGCGAGAAGAAGUUCAACUCGGUGGAUCACCGAGUCGAUCAGCGAUCCUGACUAAUUUCGUCGAGUGGACUCCGUGCUGAGAUUUUUAGAAGUUUUUGUGAACGUAUAAAUUCAUUUUUUAAAGAGAAAAGGAGCUCCCAAAGAGUGUAUUCCCCAGUUUUGAAUGCUUUUACAUAUUUUUACAUUGUUGAACAUUCUUGGAGAAGAUUUGAAUCUCGGAUUUGAGGAUUUAGGAUUCUAGCUUUAAUUUUGGCAUUGAGCAUUGCAGAUUGUUGACAAUUUGGAUGGAUAAUCUUUUUGGUAACGAUUUCUUAAUUUUUGUUAUGGUUGGAUAAAACCCCUUCCCUUGAGGGUGUGAUAAUGCAAUCAAAUACAUAAAUUAACUUGUGGAAAUUGUUAAUUGCUGAAUUUAAUGUUGUUUUGAAAUGGGUUCAAUUGUAGGUUCAUGUUUUAAUUGAUGAACUGAAGUUGCAAAUUCAGUUCUAGCUUAGCUCUCUAUGCUUGCUUGAGAAAGAGGUAUAGAGUAGAAAGAAUGAUUGAUAGUUGUAUUGAUUUGCAUCUUUACAACCCAACUUUGAGAAAGUGGGUUAAUUAAGGAAUUGGGUUGUUUGGUAUUAUUUGAGGUUCGAGAGAACUCACUCGAAACAUGAUAGUUGAUCGAGUGAUGAAUAUUAUAUUCAAAACAUAUCCUACCCAUUGAGAUUAAUUCGAUUGAUCACAUUCUUAAGGUCCUAUUUCUAAUCAUUCAAAUCCCGCGUUAAUUAUUUUUUUUGUUAGCAUUUGGUUAUUAGAAUCCCCCCCUUUGAUAAUGAUAAUUGAAACUUCGUGAUUUAUCUUAUGUUGCGUACCCUUUUACUUUUACAAAAGAUUAGAACACAUAUUUACUUCGUAUUUGAAUUCUUUAUCGUAUCACUCCCUGUGGGAUCGACCCCAACUCAUAGUUGGGUUUAUUAGUGACCGCCUACACUUUGAAUCAGAAGAAGUGUAGUUGAGCGUUAUCAUUGCUCCACUAAACCUGGAAGAGGGUCAAUCAUCAACCAGGUCAACUCGAUUCAGUGACCAAUUUUAUCGGUGGUGGAAGACACAUAUGCAUGACCGUCUGAUGGCUGAGGAUAGUAAACUAUGGGACAUUUUUCUGACUGUUCUUACAUUCCUAAUAUUGAGUUAAAGGAGGGAGAUAUCACAAAAGUUCUUCCAAAAACCCGAACACAAUAUAGUGAGGUUGAUAGAAAGAAGAUUGAGAAAAUCUACAAGGCAAAAUUUUUUUGGUAUGUGGUAUAAGAGUGACGAAUACAAUAGAAUCUCUGCUUGUGAAUCUGCAAUGGAGAUAUGGGACUGUCUCAAAACUGCUCAUGAAGAAACUCAGCAAGUGAAGGAAUCUAAUAAGGUGGAUAUGCUUACCGCCCAGUAUGAAAACUUCACUAUUGUAAGACCUUGGUCUUAGAAAGAGCUAAAUCUAGAAAGAACUAAAUUGGAAAGAGCUAAAUUGAGAUUUGGUUCAAGUUACUCUUAAUGUCACGCCCCGAGCUACCCCCGAGACGCGGACACGGGACCUAGGACCACAAGUGAUCCCAAGCUAACCCUGCUGGCAUGAUCAUGGGCAUACUAAAGAUAAUAAACUGAUGCGGAAGCUAAAUCAUAAAUAAAUCUGAAAAGAUGGGGAAUACCCAAAUACUAUAGCUGAAUAUAUCAAAUCUGAGAGUUUAAUACAAAAGAAAUAUCAAACUCAAAAUAGUAAGUUGAAUCUAACUAUGUCUAAAAUAAGCCUCUAAACUGACUAGAAAUGUUGGGACAUGCCCCAACUAGAUCUAGCAAAAACUGAAACUAAAGACUAAAAGCAAUAAAGAUAAACAUGUCACUAGUCCUCGAAGAAUGAGGACUCACCACUGAUGCUGCUGAACUGAAGAUCAGAAAUCGAUCUAAGCGUGAUCUGGAUACUGAGAACCUGAACCUACAUCACGAGAAGAUGUAGCGCACGUAUGCGUCAGUACUUGAAAGGUACUGAGCAUGCAGGAUAGAGUAAAGCUGAAAUAACAUAUAACUGAACAAAGCAAUAAAGCAAUGAAAUAAUCUGAACAUGAUAUAGAUACUGAAAAAUACUGAAUACUGAGCUAACUGAUGCAAUGACCAAAUUUAUAACAUGCUGAGACUGAAUACUGACUGUACUGAAAUAUGGUCAAUGCAAUAGAGUCUGACUGAACUGUGGGAGCUACUAAUAACCGACAUAAAACCACAUGAGCUAAAUGUGGAGUCCGAUGUAUACGCCCCAUCGAGAGGACCCAAUACACCCGGCCAAAGGUGUAGAGGCAUGCUGGCGUGAUCACUAAACUGAUGUUGCCCACAGAGGGGACUUACACCUACGUGGCUCGUAGUUCUGGGACUAUAAGGGUACGCUGAAANNNNNNNNNNNNNNNNNNNNNNNNNNNNNNNNNNNNNNNNNNNNNNNNNNNNNNNNNNNNNNNNNNNNNNNNNNNNNNNNNNNNNNNNNNNNNNNNNNNNNNNNNNNNNNNNNNNNNNNNNNNNNNNNNNNNNNNNNNNNNNNNNNNNNNNNNNNNNNNNNNNNNNNNNNNNNNNNNNNNNNNNNNNNNNNNNNNNNNNNNNNNNNNNNNNNNNNNNNNNNNNNNNNNNNNNNNNNNNNNNNNNNNNNNNNNNNNNNNNNNNNNNNNNNNNNNNNNNNNNNNNNNNNNNNNNNNNNNNNNNNNNNNNNNNNNNNNNNNNNNNNNNNNNNNNNNNNNNNNNNNNNNNNNNNNNNNNNNNNNNNNNNNNNNNNNNNNNNNNNNNNNNNNNNNNNNNNNNNNNNNNNNNNNNNNNNNNNNNNNNNNNNNNNNNNNNNNNNNNNNNNNNNNNNNNNNNNNNNNNNNNNNNNNNNNNNNNNNNNNNNNNNNNNNNNNNNNNNNNNNNNNNNNNNNNNNNNNNNNNNNNNNNNNNNNNNNNNNNNNNNNNNNNNNNNNNNNNUGAUCUGUUGAGAUUCUAGAAACCCUAGGUCUGUUCAUAAUCAUGGAAUCAAGAAUCUGACUGAAUUCUAGGGAUCUAAUGGGCGAAAGGAACCCACUAGUGAAAUCCCACAUACCUGGUGACGAAUUCCACGGAGAAAUCUUUCGAUUUCGGGGUUGGAACUGAUGGAACCUUGCUGCGUUCUUGAACUAGGGUUCUUGACCUUUUUCUCCUUUCUUGAUUCUAAAUUUCUAUGUUUUGAUUAAUGAUUUUGACUAAGGUAAGUUCUAGUUAUGUUUUUAGGCUUAAACUGAUUAAAACCUCAUGAUUUAGGGUUUAAACGACGUAUCUUAGGGGUUAAACGAAAUAGGAAAUGACUAAAAGACCCCUGAAUUAACUGCUGUCGGAGUGAUCGACGGACUGGACUGACGGUCCUUCAAUCAAUCGACUGUCCGUCGAUUGGGUCCGUAGGUCGAGUCUGCCCGACUGGGCUUCACUAAAACGAGCAUAACUUUUUACUCGGAGGUCGGAAUUAAGCAAACUUGGUGGAGUUGGAAAGAUAAUUCAAUUAUCUAUCAUACCAUUGGUCAUGGGACACACAAUUACUUUCGUGCUAAAAGUUAUGACCAUCUGAAGUUGACCCAUCAAUAAUUUUCAGCUAACUGGCUGUUGACCCUAACUUACAGUCAGACCUACGGACCGUGGAUCGAUUGACGGUCCGUGCUAGUCGACCGUAGUUUGUUUCAGAGACUGGGGAAAUGAGGUCUCAAUCCAUGGACACAGACCACGGACCGUGGUCUGAUCUACGGACCGUGGGUCUGUCCGUGAGUCGGGACUUAGCCGAUUUUCUGAGCUGGGUCCGGGAGGGGUUUCAGUGUUGAACCACGGACCACCAGCACGGGCCGUGGUCUGACCUACGGUCCGUGGAUGGCAACCGUGGGUUGCACCUAAAACUUCUCAAAAUCUGCAUUUUUAGUCUGUUUCGAAUACGGGGUGUUACACUUAAAUUGUAAAUUUUGGGUCAAAUUCAAACGAUCAUAAUUUUCAGCACGAGAUGAGUUAGGUGGCCCAUGAGAUACCAAAUCGAAGGUCGUUGAGAUUUCUUUCAAAUGACAUCGAGUUUGCUAAAUUCCAAGUUCGAAUGAGAGAGAUAUGCCCGUUUGAGUACACCCUGUCUAGUUAAGGAAGUUCAUCCAAAUUAAAAAAAGGGUAUUUUGGUCUUUUCCUUACCCCACUAGGCCUACACGUUUUUUUCACCCAAUUAGGGGUCAAAGAUGAUUAAAAUCAGUUUUCACUCAAGUCUAAAGUGUUAUAGAAUCUAGGGCAAAGUUCACGAGGAGAAAAGAGGAAGUUUUCAAGAAGUUCUUCAAGAUUUCAGGGAAAUCACCAAGAACUUAGUUCUUUCGAGGAAUGUAAGCUUUCAUAGUGUUGGUUUGCUAACCCUCACACCAAUCAUGUAAACUUUUACCCAUGGAUUCAUUCUUGAAGUUGAUUAUUGAGUUCUUGAGAAGUUCUUGAGUUAAAUUGAUAAAUUGAGGUCUUUGAAAUCCUUAAGGUGAGAGUUUUGCGAAAUAGUUGAGUCUCUUGAUUGAGUUAUUUAUGGUUUCAUUGAAAAUGUUCUGGGUGUGUGAAAUUUGACCAUAGAACUGAAGUGGGUAUGAGUUUAAUCAAGUUUGGGAAAUGAAGAGAAGAUUGGGCAAAAAUACGUGCCCACGUCCGCAUCGCGGAGGCGCUUUAAAAAUUAUGUCCCAAGAUAACUCUACCUCAAAAAUUAUUUCGCUACUAAAAAUUAAAAUCCCUCUCCGCGUCGCGCCAAUGUUCUCCAAUUUGUGUCUUCGCUCUGUGCUUAUUAUCAACUAUAUAAACCUUCCUAAACCAUUGAGAGAUCCUACAUUCUAAUCAUAACUCUUAAAUCUUCAUUUCAAAUCAAAGUAAAUAUUAAGAGUAAAGUUCGAGGAAGUCUUUUGAGUCACUUUGAGAAGUCUUUGUCAAUCUUUUUAAACUUGAUUUAAGACUUGGAUACUUGUAUGAGGAUGAGGAGGGUUGAGUUUAGUUUCAAAAUGAGUAUGAGGGUACUAAGUAUUCCCAAGCUUGUAACACUUUACAUUUAAGAUGAGACGAAACCUUGAUUUCUAAAUGAGUUCAUUAGGAGUUUUGAGCAUUAUCUCUUUUAAGAGAUUCUUUUGUGUAAUUAUCUCAAAUUGAGGAGGAGUUAUGGUUUCUUUAAAAACAUAUGAGCAUGAGUUAUAUAUAUUAUUGGGAUUAGUAUUGAACACCAAUAUGGGGAUGAGUUCAGACAACUUAAAAUCCUCAUAAACCAUGUAUGCCAACAUAGGUAAAGGAUCAUACUUCUUAGACAAUUCUUUAUUACUUUUAAGCAUAGAUUAGUGGAUCCACUUAGUUGGGGAUGUCUUAUACUCUGGCAGGAUAUAUGAUAGUUCUGGCAGCAUGGUCAAGAUGAUGUAUCAUCACAUAACUCAUAUUGAUGGUUUUCAAUUAGAAAAUCUCCCAAAUAAGACUAAAGAGUUUAUUAUUGUAUGUUUAUAUAUAUUGAGUUAUUAUCUACUGUUUUAAAAGCUUCUUUUAUACUGCAUCUUUAUUGUAGCUCUUAUAUUGAAUUGAGUUAAGUAUCCUUGAGUUGAGUAUUCUUGAGUUAAGCUGAGUUGAGUUGAGAUGAGGUGAGUAUGUUCUUCCUUUAUAUCAAUUCAAGCUUUUAUCUAUGCUUUAGAGUACCCCUUGCAUGCUCGUGCAUUCAAUAUACUGACACCAUUUGGCCUGCAUCUUUUUAUGAUGCAGAUAAAUGUAUUUAGGGUCAUCACAGGCGCUUUGUUGAUACCACUUGCAGUUUCAAUUAGUUUUUGUGAGCCUCCUUGCUUCCGGAGGAUUCCACUUUUAUUUUCAAUCUUAUUAAGAUGUCGUGGGUCUUGUCCCGACGUCUAUCAUAGUUAGUAAAGGCUUCAUAGACAAAAGUGUUUUGAGGGGUUUUUUCCAUUUCCAUUGUUAAUGUUUAAGACUUGAGUUUCCUUUUUAAAUCAAGUUGAAUACUUUAAAUAUUCUAAGUUAUUUAUCUUGAGACUUUUGAGUUAAUCUUGAGGUCAUAUAUUAUUGAGUAAGUCUUCCGCUGAGUAUUGAGUCAGGCCAAGGAUUCGCUUGGGGACCAACAAUGGUUCUCGGAUGUCGUUCACGUCCAGGGUGUAGGUUCGGACAAACUUUGUAUCAGAACACAGAGUUUUAAGAGUCCUAAGGUGUUUGUGAAGCCGUGUCUGUAGAGUCCUGAUUAUCGGUGUGAAGCGUGCAACAUCUAUAAUUAGAAGGCAAUAACAUUUAGGAAAUAUUUUACUUUUUCAUACUCUUUUCGUGCGAUAGAGUUCAACUCUAUAAAAGUUUCUUUAUAAUUUGUGCUUGCGCGUAUCUUUCAGAUCAUGCCUCCAUGAAGAGCUGUUCGAGGUCAUCCUGCUAGAAGACAAUUGAUCCCAGGAUCAAGGGCUCCCCAAUGCACCAGAAGUGCAACCCCAAGGAGAGGGCACUAAUGCUAAGUUCCGGGAUGCUAUCUGGAUGUUGAGUCAGGUUGUGACCAACCAAGCUGGGCAACAAGGAGGGAUUCAUAAGGAUAUGGCUGAUACAUCCAGGAUCCGUGAGUUCUUGAGGAUGAAUCCUCCAAACUUCACAGGGUCAAGUGUCACUAAAGAUUCGAAAAAAAUUGUGGAGGAACUACAAAAAGUAUUUGAGGUUAUGCAUAUUGGUGAUGUUGAUAGAGUGUAGCUAGCUGCAUACCAGCUUAAGGGUGUGAUGAAGAUUUGGUACAACCAAUGGGAAAAGAGCAGGGCUGAAGGGGCACCAAUUGUGAGCUGGGUUGUGUUUGAAGGUGCCUUCAUAGGAUGUUUCUUUCCCCGUGAAUAGAGGGAGGCAAAGGUAAGAGAAUUUCUCACUGUUAAGAAGGAAUCCAUGGGUGUGCAUGAGUACAGCCUCAAGUUCACCCAACUGUCUUGUUAUGCUUCGGAGAUGGCUGCUGAUAUAAGGAGCAUGAUGAGCUUGUUUGUGUCUGGGUUGUCUCGCUUGCCGAUUAAGGAGGGUAAGGUAACUAUUUUAAUAGGGUACAUGGACAUAGCAAGGCUUAUGAUCCAUGUACAGCAGGUUGAUGAGGACACGUUGAGAAAUAUGGAAUAGUUUCGCAAUAAGAAGGCUAAGAAAACAUGUAAUGAGUCUAGGCAACAAAAUGCUGGUAAUGCGAACCGGUCAUGUUUUCAACAAAAGCCAAGUAGACCUACUCCAUCAUUUGCUAGUUCACCUGCACCAAAGAACAGAGGUGAGUUCAGGAAUUAGAAUUUGCAGAACUUCAGAGCUCGACCUGCUCAGUCCCAAGGUAGUGUGGCACAAGGGGCCAACUAGACUCCUACGUGUGCUAAGUGUGGUAGAAACCACCUAGGAGCGUUUCGUGAUGGCUCUACUGGUUGUUUCAAGUAAGGUCAAACAGACACUUACUGAGAGAGUGCCCUAAGAAUAGGAAAGGUAAUGGUAAUGGGGGAAAUAGAUCCCAAUUUUCUUCAACGGCUCCAACAGACAGAGCUGCACCUAGAAGAGCUACUUCAGGAACAGGUGGAGGAGCAAACCAUCUGUACGCUAUCACCAGUCGCCAAGAGCAAGAGAAUUCACCUGAUGUUGUCACUAGUAUGAUCAAAGUCUUUACUUUUGAUGUAUAUGCAUUGCUUGAUCCAGGUGAAACUCUAUCUUCUGUGACUCCGUAUAUUACUAUGAGAUUUGAUAUUCUUCCCGAGUAACUUCUUGAGCCCUUUAGUGUUUCCACACCGGUUGGUUAGUCUAUUCUAGCUGAGAGAGUUUAUCGUGAUUGUACCAUGUAUGUCAAUCACAUGGACACCGUGGCUAACUUAGUCGAGUUAGACAUGGUGGACUUUAAUGUUAUUCUAGGUAUGGACUGGCUUCAUUCUUGUUAUGCCUCACUUGAUUAUAGAACUCAAGUAGUUAAGUUCUAGUUUCCUAAUGAGCCAGUUAUAGAGUGGAGGAGUAGUUCAGCAGUGCCUAAGGAUCGUUUUAUUUCAUAGGUUAAGGCCAUAAAGUUAAUUUCCAAGGGGUGCAUCUAUUACUUAGUCCAAGUUAAUGACUCAAGUGUUGAGACACCACAUAUUCAGUAAGAUCCACUUGUGAGUGAGUUUCCAAAGGUCUUUGCAGAUGAUUUUCACGGAGUCCCUCCUGAGAGAGAAAUAGACUUCGACAUGGAUAUUUACCUUGAUACUCGACCUAUCUCCAUUCCGCUAUAUAAAAUGGAUGCAACUGAGAUGAAAGAGUUAAAAGAGGAAUUGAAAAACCUUCUUGAUAAAGGUUUAAUUCAAUCAUGUGUCUCAUGUUGGGGCACUCCGAUCUUAUUUGUGAGGAAUAAAUAUGGUUCUCUUAGGAUGUGUACUGAUUACCACAAAUUGAACAAGGUUACUAUAAAGAACAAGUACCCCCUUCCGAGAAUUGACGAUAUUUUCUAUCAACUUCAGGGUGCCACUUUCUUUUCUAAGAUAGACCUUCGAUCAGGAUAUCAUCAGUUGAGAGUAAGAGAAAAUGACAUCCCGAAGACAACAUUCAUGACCCACUAUGGUCAUUAUGAGUUUCUAGUAAUGUCUUUUGGUUUGACUAAUGUUCUUCCAGCGUUCAUGGAUGUAAUGAACAGGGUAUUUAAGUCAUAUUAUGACAUAUUUGUUAUCGUGUUUAUUGAUGACAUUCUGAUUUAUUCGAGGAAUGAGGUGAAUCAUGGUAGUCAUCUUAGAGUAGUUCUCCAAACUCUCAGAGAUAGAGAGUUGUAUGCCAAAUUUUCCAAGUGAGAGUUUUGGCUUGAGUCAUUGACGUUCUUAGGCCACAUUAUUUCUAGUGAAGGGAUUCGAGUUGACACUCAAAAGAUUGAAGUAGUGCAGAACUGGCCCACCCAUAUCUCCAACUGAUAUUAGGAGUUUCUUGGGAUUGGCUGGUUAUUAUAGAAGGUUUAUCAAGGGGUUCUCAUCUAUUUUUUCCAUGUUGACAAAGUUGACUUAAAAGACAGUGAAGUUUCAAUAGUCUGAAGCUUGCGAUAAAAGGUUUUAGGAAUUGAAAACACGGUUGACUACUACUCAGUGUUGACCUUAUAGGAGGGUACACAAGGCUUUGUUCUGUAUUGUGAUGUGUUCAGAGUUGGUUUGGGUUGUGUAUUGAUGCAGAAUGGCAAAGUUAUAGCUUAUGCCUCCAGACAACUUAAGAUUCAUGAGAAGAAUUACCCGGUUCAUGAUCUCGAGUUGGUUCCAUUAGUGUUUGCUUUGAAAAUAUGGCAUCACUAUCUCUAUGGUGUUCAUGUUGAUGUGUUCACCAUUCACAAAGUCUUCAGUAUGUGUUCAGUCAGAAAUAGCUUAAUCUCAGACAGAUGAGGUGGUUGGAGUUACUCAAGGAUUAUGACAUGAGUAUUCUCUAUCACCCAGGUAAGACUAAUGUUGUUGUUGAUGUUUUGAUCAAGUUAUCUAUGGGUAGUACUGCCCAUGUUGAGGAAGGCAAGGAAGAAUUAGCCAAAGAUGUGCACAGACUUGCACGAUUGAGAGUCUGGUAAUGGAUUCCAAUGUAGGUGGAGUGGUGGUGAUGAAUGGGGCUGAAUCAUCACUAGUGUUUGAACCGAUGGAGAAAUAAGACCAAGACCUAUUUUGCUUGAGUUGAAGGAAAAUGUUCAUAAGCAGAAAGUGAUGGCUUUUGAACAAGGGGGAGAUGGUGUGUUGAGGUAUCAAGGCAGAUUGUGUGUACCAAAGGUGGAUAAACUCCAAGAGAGGAUCAUGGAAGAAGCGCAUAGUUCGAGAUACUCUAUCCAUCCCGAUUCCAAAAGAAGAAAAUAACCAAGAUAAUCUACCCGAAAUAAGAAAUGAAGAAAUAAACGACGAUGAUCUAGAACAACAUUCGGAAACAAGAGAAACAUAUACGGAACUUUUAGCAAACAUAGAUAAUAUAAAGAAUUCAGAAAUAAAUACAGGAGACGUAGACAUGGAUGAAAAACCUAGCACAUCAGGAGUAAAAAACCCAAAAAAUUUAAAUCCAAAAUAUUAUAAUGAAAACUAUGAACAAUAUGAUAGAGAAAAAACUACAUGGGAUAAAAGAUUAAAUAAAAAAUGGACACCUAAACCAAUAACUGGACAACAUGAUUUUUUAGAUUUAGACUGUGUAGCAGAUAUAAAUAAAACAAUCCAAUUAUGGAUAGGAUAUAUAUCAAAACAAUUAAUAGAUAAAAAAAAUAGGAAUGACAGAAACACCAGGAUAUAUAGAAAUUAUCAGAUGAAAGUUUAAAAACUCUAAGAAGCAAUAAAAAAUCAAAUGGCGAAUUAGCUACUACAACUAUAGAAAUAUUAUAUAAAUACGAAGUAGCUAUACGAAAUGAAUUUAGUAGUAUGACAACAGAGGUAGAAGAACAAAAUAAAGAAAAAAUCAUAAACCGAAAUCUAAUGACAAAAUUAGCAAUAUGUAAUAUGUGUUAUAUAGAUGAAUAUACAUGUGCAUUUAGAGAAUAUUAUUAUAAAGGAACAUAUAACAUAGAAGAAAGUAAAGAAAUAAGAAAAUUAUAUUUUACAAAAUUACCGGAACCUUUUAAUUCAAAAGUAAUAAAAAGUUGGAAUGAAGCAGAAUUAACAGAUACCUUAGGAGUUAGAAUAAAAUUCUUGCAACGAUGGUUUAUGGAACUAUGUGAAAAACAUAAAGAAGAAAUAAAAAUGGAAAAAAUAUUAGUAAAAAACUUGGCAUGUUGCAAAAAUAAAACAGCACCUCAAUUUGGUUGUACGGAUAAGUAUUAUAAAAAUAGAAAGAAAUAUAAUAAAAAAUACAGAUCAAAAUAUAAAUAUAAAAAACCAAGAAGAAGAUAUUAUGUAAAAAACUACAAAACCAAAAGACCAUAUAGACCAAAAAGAAAACUAACGGAAUGUACUUGUUAUAAUUGUGGAAAAUUAGGACAUAUAGCUAGAGAUUGUAAAUUACCUAAAAAUCCAAAGAAAAAACAAAUAUCAGAAAUAAUAAUAGACGAUGAAAAAUAUACGCAGAUAGAAUACAUAGAUUAUGAAUUAGAAAGUGAAGAUAGUAUAUAUGAAAUAUCAGAAAAUGAAAUGAAUAAUGAUAUAGAAAUAGAAUCAGAUAAUGAAUUCUAUAAUAUAACAAAUGACUGAAACAGAUAUACAAAUAAUAAAUAAAGAAAAACAUCAAGACGAAGAAUCUUCAGAACAAAAAAUAAUAUUUGAUAAUAAUAUAUUUGAACAAAUAAAAGGAAAAGAACUAGACCUAAGCAUAGCAAAAAUAUUCGAAAUACCAACAAUAAGAAACUGGUUUAAACGACAAAAAGAAGAAUAUUAUGUAGUAAGUCAAAGAGAACAUAUCAUAGAUUGCAAAUACACUAAAGGUAAGGCCAAAAUACCAAUAAUAAAUAAACGAAUAAUAAAUAAAGAAAUACAAGAUAUUAAGGCUAAAAAUCCAAUUAAAUAUGUACAUUUAGGAGGAACAGAAAUACUAAUAAAAGCAUGUUUUAGAGAAGGAAUAGAUACACCCAUAGAAAUAUAUUUAGCGGAUGAUAGAAUCAUACAACCCAUAGAAAAAAGUAUAAUAAGUGCUGUAAAAGAUAACCUCAUAUACCAAACAUUUAAAUUUAUAAUAAGUGCUAACUACUCCGUAGCAAUAAAUGAAAGGUACAUAUAUAAAUCACUAGUAUUAUAUUGGAAAAUGUCAGGAAUAGAACUAGCCCCGGGAAGUAAAAUAUUUACCGCUAGAUGUAAAAACUUAUAUGUUUUAACAACAAAACAUAAAAUAACAGCAAAAAAUAAAAUAAAUAAAAUAAAAAUAGAAGAUCCUUUUGAAAGAAUAGUCACAGUCAUAGAUAAAAAUGAUUACAGUUAUAAUGAGAUUGAUAUAGAAGAAGAUUUAGAAAUAGUAAAAGAAAGAUUAAGCACAUCGAAAAGAAUAAACUGUGAAAUACCACAAAUAUCAUAAAAAAUGAGUACUACAAGAAGAAUAGAUAAAACACCACACCACAAAAAUCAAUGGAAGAAGAAAUAAAACCACAUCAUUACUACAUAACGGGAUUAAUGGAACAACGAAAAUAUUUAAUAUUAAUAGAUACAGGACGAGAAGAAAACUAUAUUACAAGAGAAUUAGUAACGGAAGAUGAAAUAAUAACUACUGAGCAAUCAUGCCCCGAAUUACCAAAGGCAUUAAUGUAUACCGAAGAAACUACAGAAAAGGAAAUAAUCAUUGGAGGAGUACCAAUAGUAAUAAAAUUUAAAAUAUAUCAAGGAGAUGAAAAUAUCACUUUAGGAAUAAAAUGGUUAGAACAAGUUUAACCAUAUAAUCUAGAAGACAAACAAUUGACAAUAAAUUAUGAAAAUAAAAGAGUAAUAAUAAAAAGAACCUAAGUAUGACAAUAUACAUACUUGCAAAGAUAAUAAUAGAGGGAUAUUACAAUAGAUAUUAUACACCAAUGAUAGAUACGGGAGCAGAAGCUAAUAGAUGUAAAUACAAUUGUUUACCAGAAGAUAAAUGAGAAAAAUUAAAAACACCGAUAGUAGUAACAUGAUUUAAUAAUGAAGGAAGCAUGAGUACAUACAAGGCAAAAAAUAUAAAAAUACAAAUAUGGGAUAAGAUAUUAACUAUAGAGGAAAUAUAUAACUUUGAAUUAACUACAAAAUAUAUGUUAUUAGGAAUGCCAUUUUUAGAAAAAAUUAUACUCACAUAUAAUAACAAAAACACACUGGUGGUUCACAACACCAUGUAAACAAAAAAUAGUAGCAAAGAGAGUAAAUAACAAAAAACGAAAGACAAUAGAAUGGAUAAAAGGAAGUGAAAAAAUUACACAAAAAUUAGAAAAUAUAAAAGAAGAAGACCCUAAGAUAGAAUUAAUUAUAUUUUCUAUAGAUAAAGUAAAAAUAAUCCAAGAUAAGUUAGAAUUAUUAUAUAGUGAAGAUCCUUUACAAGGAUGAGAAAAACAUAAAACAAAAAUAAAAUUGAGCUAAUUGAUAAUAAUAGUAUAAUAACCCAAAAACCAUUAAAGUAUAAUUUUAAUGAUUUAACAGAAUUUAAGAUACAUAUAAGUGAAUUAUUAGAAAAAUGAGUAUAUACAAGAAAGCAAUAGUAAGCACACAAGCCCGGCAUUUAUCGUAAACAAACAUAGUGAACAAAAAAGAGGAAAAAGCAGAAUGGUUAUUGAUUAUAGAAAUUUAAAUGCAAAAACUAAAACAUAUAAUUACCCAAUACCAAAUAAAAUAUUAAAAAUAAGACAAAUACAAGGAUAUAAUCACUUCAGUAAAUUUGACUGCAAAUCAGGAUUUUACCACUAGAAGAAGAAUCUAACAAACUUACAGCAUUUACAGUACCACAAGGAUUUUAUGANNNNNNNNNNNNNNNNNNNNNNNNNNNNNNNNNNNNNNNNNNNNNNNNNNNNNNNNNNNNNNNNNNNNNNNNNNNNNNNNNNNNNNNNNNNNNNNNNNNNNNNNNNNNNNNNNNNNNNNNNNNNNNNNNNNNNNNNNNNNNNNNNNNNNNNNNNNNNNNNNNNNNNNNNNNNNNNNNNNNNNNNNNNNNNNNNNNNNNNNNNNNNNNNNNNNNNNNNNNNNNNNNNNNNNNNNNNNNNNNNNNNNNNNNNNNNNNNNNNNNNNNNNNNNNNNNNNNNNNNNNNNNNNNNNNNNNNNNNNNNNNNNNNNNNNNNNNNNNNNNNNNNNNNNNNNNNNNNNNNNNNNNNNNNNNNNNNNNNNNNNNNNNNNNNNNNNNNNNNNNNNNNNNNNNNNNNNNNNNNNNNNNNNNNNNNNNNNNNNNNNNNNNNNNNNNNNNNNNNNNNNNNNNNNNNNNNNNNNNNNNNNNNNNNNNNNNNNNNNNNNNNNNNNNNNNNNNNNNNNNNNNNNNNNNNNNNNNNNNNNNNNNNNNNNNNNNNNNNNNNNNNNNNNNNNNNNNNNNNNNNNNNNNNNNNNNNNNNNNNNNNNNNNNNNNNNNNNNNNNNNNNNNNNNNNNNNNNNNNNNNNNNNNNNNNNNNNNNNNNNNNNNNNNNNNNNNNNNNNNNNNNNNNNNNNNNNNNNNNNNNNNNNNNNNNNNNNNNNNNNNNNNNNNNNNNNNNNNNNNNNNNNNNNNNNNNNNNNNNNNNNNNNNNNNNNNNNNNNNNNNNNNNNNNNNNNNNNNNNNNNNNNNNNNNNNNNNNNNNNNNNNNNNNNNNNNNNNNNNNNNNNNNNNNNNNNNNNNNNNNNNNNNNNNNNNNNNNNNNNNNNNNNNNNNNNNNNNNNNNNNNNNNNNNNNNNNNNNNNNNNNNNNNNNNNNNNNNNNNNNNNNNNNNNNNNNNNNNNNNNNNNNNNNNNNNNNNNNNNNNNNNNNNNNNNNNNNNNNNNNNNNNNNNNNNNNNNNNNNNNNNNNNNNNNNNNNNNNNNNNNNNNNNNNNNNNNNNNNNNNNNNNNNNNNNNNNNNNNNNNNNNNNNNNNNNNNNNNNNNNNNNNNNNNNNNNNNNNNNNNNNNNNNNNNNNNNNNNNNNNNNNNNNNNNNNNNNNNNNNNNNNNNNNNNNNNNNNNNNNNNNNNNNNNNNNNNNNNNNNNNNNNNNNNNNNNNNNNNNNNNNNNNNNNNNNNNNNNNNNNNNNNNNNNNNNNNNNNNNNNNNNNNNNNNNNNNNNNNNNNNNNNNNNNNNNNNNNNNNNNNNNNNNNNNNNNNNNNNNNNNNNNNNNNNNNNNNNNNNNNNNNNNNNNNNNNNNNNNNNNNNNNNNNNNNNNNNNNNNNNNNNNNNNNNNNNNNNNNNNNNNNNNNNNNNNNNNNNNNNNNNNNNNNNNNNNNNNNNNNNNNNNNNNNNNNNNNNNNNNNNNNNNNNNNNNNNNNNNNNNNNNNNNNNNNNNNNNNNNNNNNNNNNNNNNNNNNNNNNNNNNNNNNNNNNNNNNNNNNNNNNNNNNNNNNNNNNNNNNNNNNNNNNNNNNNNNNNNNNNNNNNNNNNNNNNNNNNNNNNNNNNNNNNNNNNNNNNNNNNNNNNNNNNNNNNNNNNNNNNNNNNNNNNNNNNNNNNNNNNNNNNNNNNNNNNNNNNNNNNNNNNNNNNNNNNNNNNNNNNNNNNNNNNNNNNNNNNNNNNNNNNNNNNNNNNNNNNNNNNNNNNNNNNUGAUUUAUUCCAAUUCAAGGGAGCUAAGGAAAGCAGAUAUGGAUGAAGUCCAGAGAUGGAUUUUAUCAUUACUUAAGCCAGAAGAACGACCUACAACACGAGCACUAAAGAUAGGAUUUAUUUCAAUAGAGUUAUUAACCAGAUAUUGCAAGUUAAUUGGACAUAAAUACCCUGAUCAUAUAUGUUGAAAGUGCAACGGAGAAGAUAACAUAAUUCUAGAUGUAGACUUGGAAUGAUAAUGAAAGAUAAAAGGAGACAAAGGAAGAUGGACAAGAUAAGAAGUUAAGAAAGCUAAAGUCAUCUACGUAUUAUUGCAAAGAUGUAAAAGUCAUAAAGCUAUUUAACUUAUUAGAAAUAGUAGUAGACAUAUGUAAAGUUAUUAGAAAUAGUAGCAGACAUGUGUAAAGUAGGAAUAGUUAAAUUAGUGUAAAUUAGUCAACAGUGUAUAUUAAAAGUAGUAGGUAUGGUGUGUAGGGACAAGUGUAGGUAUGGGUAGGUAUGGGAUUGUAAGACAAGUGUAAAGAGUAAGUAUGGAAUUGUAAGAAAGCCAUCAAGUAGUGUAAAAAAGUCAUAAGAGUAAGUAAUAUAGUACGUGCACAUUAUUGUGCAUUACUGUAGAGAUAAGGUAGGAAUUGUAAAGUAGUAGUCGUUUCCUUUCUAUAUAAAGGGACGCAGAUGUAAAUGAAAAGGCAGGUAACGCCUAAGGCAAUUAAAAAAUCCUCUUUCAUAAAAAAUACUCUCUCAACUAAGAUAAAUAUUUAAAAUACUAAUGGAAAAAUCUAAAAUCCAAUAAGAUAUUUCAGAUAGCAGGGCUAAGCAAGAGGCAAAGGUAUAUUGUUCAAAAAAUAUGCAGAACUAAUUUCAUAUAUUCCUGAAUAUCAUAUAUAUGAUUGAAUAAAUUUAUGUUAGUUAUUAUGUAUUAGAAUUAUUUGAAUCAUGAUUUCUAGUUUAUUAGCACACUGGAAACAGGGAGAAAACUUCUAUACUAUGCCAUCCUAAUGUUGAAACCGGUAGGCGAGGAAAGCCGUUUAGGGGAGUAAACAAAGUUGAGGCGCUGAUAAGAAGGAAGUAUCCGCUAAAGUACGAUGCUAGUAGUGACAAGAAAACAUGAUAAAGAUAAUCUAGUUCAUAAUGAUCUAAUAUGAAUUUAAUCAAUUAUGAAUAUGAUAAGAAGGAAUAAUUGAAAAUAAAAAACUUGCAUAACAACGAACAUGACUACAUACAUGCAUGAUGAAAUGAUAAAAAACUAUGAAACCAUGAAUUCCUCAACUACCAGUUCCGCACCGAAAAAAGAUAUCAGAUUAUAAUAAAAUCUUUAAAAUAAAAUACUCACCUACCACACUACCACUUCCAUGAAUUCCUCAACUACCAGUUCCGCACCGAAAAAAGAUAUCAGAUUAUAAUAAAAUCUUUAAAAUAAAAUACUCACCUACCACACUACCACUUCCAUGAAUUCCUCAACUACCAGUUCCGCACCGAAAAAAGAUAUCAGAUUAUAAUAAAAUCUUUAAAAUAAAAUACUCACCUACCACACUACCACUUCCAUGAAUUCCUCAACUACCAGUUCCGCGCCGAAAAAUGGUAAUAUGUACGGAUGAGAGAGAUAUGCCCGUUUGAGUACAGCUUGUCUAGUUAAGGAAGUUCAUCUAAAUUAAGGAGGGAUAUUUUGGUCUUUUCCUUACCCCACUAGGCCUACACAUUUUUUAUUACCCAAUUAGGGAUCAAAGCUGAUUAAAAUCAGUUUUCGCUCAAGUCUAAAGCGUUCAAGAAACUAGGGCAAAACUCAAGAGGAGAAAAGAGGAGGUUUUCAAGAAGUUCUUCAAGAUUUCGGGAAAAUUGCCAAGAACUUAGUUCUUUCGAGGUAUGUAAGCUCUCAUAGUGUUGGGUUUGUUCGCCCUCACACCAAUCAUGUAAACUUUUACCCAUGAAUUCAUUCUUGAAGUUAAUUAUUGAGUUCUUGAGAAGUUGUUGUGUUAAAUUGAUAAAUUGAGGUCUUUGAAAUCCUUGAGGUGAGAGUUUUGCGAAAUAGUUGAGUCUCUUGAUUGAAUUCUCUGUGGGUUUCAUUGAAAAUGUUCUGGGUUUGUGAAAUUUCAUGAAAUUGAACCAUAGAACUGAAGUGGGUAUGAGUUUAAUCGAGUUUGGGAGAGGAAGAAAAAAUCGGGCAAAAAUACAUGCCUAGGUCCACGUCACGGAGGCGCUUUAAAAAUUUGGUCCUCAAAUAAUUACCCCUUCUCCGCGUCGCAAAGAGGAUACAUAGUCUUCUGCCUCAAAAAUUAUUUCGCGACCAAAAAUAAAAAUUCCUCUCCGGGUCGCGCCAGUGUUCCCCAGUGUCUUCGCUCGUUUUAUAUUGUCAACUAUCUAAACCUUCCUAUAUCAUUGAGAGAUCCUACAUUCUAAUCAUAACUCUUAAAUAGUCAUUUCAAAUCGAAGUAAAGAUUAAGAGUAAAGUUCGAGGAAGUCUUUUAAGACUUGAGUACUUGAGUAUGAGAAUGAGGAGAGUUGAGUUUAUUUUCAAAAUGAGUAUGAGGGGACUAAGUAUUCCCAAGCAUGUAACACUUUUACAUUUAAGAUGAGAAGAAACCACGAUUUCUAAAUGAGUACAUGAGGAGUUUUGAGCAUUAUCUCUUUUAAGAGAAUCUUGUGAGUAAUUAUCUCAAAUUGAGGAGGAUUUAUGUUUUAUUUAAAAACAUAUGAGCAUGAGUUCAGACAACUCAAAAUCCUCAUAAACCAUGUAUGCCAACAUCGGUAAAGGAUCAUACUUUUUAGAUGAUUUCUUAUUGCUUUUAAUCAUAGCUUAGUGAAUCCACUUAGUUGAGGAUGUCUUAUACUCCGGCAAAGUAUAUGAUAGUUUUGGCAGUGUGGGCAAGACAUUGUAUCAUCACAUAGCUCAUUGUGAUGGUUGUCGGUUAGAGAAUCUCCCAAAUAAGAGUAAAUAGUUUAUUAUUGUAUUUUUAUAUAUAUUGAGUUAUUAUCUACUGUUUUAAAAGCUUUCUUUAUACUGCAUCUUGUUGAUUUUAGAUUGAACUGAGUUGAGUAUCCUUGAGUUGAGUUGAGUAUCAUUGAGUUGAGUUGAGUUGAGUUGAGAUGAGGUGAGUAUGUUCUUUCUUUUUAUCAGUUCAAGCUUAUGUCUAUGCUUUAGAGUUCCCCUAGCAUGCUCGUACAUUCAAUGUAUUAACGCCAUUUGGCCUGCUUUUUUAUAUGAUGUAGAUACAAGUAUUCAGGAUCAUCAAUAGGCACUUCGUUGAUAUCACUUGCAUUUCCGGUUAGUUUUGGUGAGCCUCCUUGCAUCUGGAGGAUUCCACUUUUAUUUUCAGGCUUAUUAAGAUGUCGUGGGUCGUGUCCUGAUGUCUAUCAUAGUUAGUAGAGGCUUCAUAGAUAGUAGUGUUUUGAGGAGUCUUUUCCAUUUCCAUUGUUAAUGUUUAAGACUUGAGUUGCCUUUUUUAUGGUUAGUUUAAUACAUUAAAUAUUCGAAGUUAUUUAUCUUGAGACUUUUGAGUUAAUCUUUGCAAAUUGAGGUCAUAUAUUGUUGAGUAAGUCUUCCGUUGAGUAUUGAUCCAGGCCAAGGGUUCGCUUGGGGACCAACAAUGGUUCUCGAGUGCCGGUCACAUCCAGGGUGUAGGCUCGGGGAGUGACAACUAUGAAAGAGAGUGAAACCAUUCAUAAAAUGUACACCAGAUUUUCCUCCAUAACCAAUGAACUUAAGAGUUUUGGGUGAACCCAUUCAUCUAAGUAAACCGGUCAUAGAGGUGAUAAGAAUCCUCCCAAAGUCUUGGGAUAGUAAAAUGCUGCAAUUACUAAAGUCAAGGACCUGAAGGUACUGAUAAUGGAUACAUUGAUUGGAAAUCUGCAAGCCUAUGAAAUGCACAUGAAUCAAGAUCCCUCAAAGAAAGAAGCAAAAAAGGAUAAAUCUCUAGCUCUCAAGGUGUCUCAGAGUGAAAUUCUUGAAAUGGAUGAAGAUAUGGCAUAUCUCACUCGUAGGCUCCAAAAGAUUGUAAGAAAACAUGGAGGUUUCAUGAAGAACAGUGUCACGAUCCGAGACUACCCCCUAGUAGUAACACGAUGCUUAGAGUCACGAGUGACCUCAAGCUAACCCUUGAUACUGGCAUAGUCAUGAGCAACUAAAUAUAAACAUGUAAAAGAAUGAAAAUGACUGAGUGGAAGCAUAAUUAUGAAAAACUGGUUCAAUAUAUUUUUGAAUAAAAGUUUGUAUACAACAACUAUAAUGCGAAAGGAAUCUGAAAUAGAAUAGAGUGAAUACAAAAACUCUAACUAGGUGUCUAUGAAGUCUCUAAUUGUCACGACCUAAAAAGAGUCAUGAGCGGCACCCAGACUUAACCUUCUAGGUGGGCGAACCAACGAAUUCAACCCCAACCUAUAUUUAUUGUUCAACUCAUGAAAUACAAACUAUAAUGCGAAAGCUCAAAUGUUAUUAAUAUAAGAAACACAUAUCCACUAAAGUCUAUUAAAUAUCGUUAAUUUAUCAUUCAUUAUCACCACUUUUAAUUUCAUUAACAAUGUUUCAUCAAGCCUUCUUUAUUCAGGGCAUCACUUUGAUAGAGAAAGUUCAAGAUUAUAAAUUUCACGGUCUCAUGAUUUCAGACCAAUUGCAAAUCACACAACCAAGCCACAUAACCACACAACCAAGUACAUAGAGAAAUUCACGAUAUCACUCAAUGACUAUCAAUCAAUAUUAAGAGUCUAUCUAUCACAUAGAAUAAACCAUAACCUACCUCCACCAAAGAACCGAAGUCAAGCGAGCUAAUUACCCAGUGCCUUUCCUUUCCUCAAUACUUCCGAAUGUUUCCAAUCUAUCAAGUAUACAAUACACCGAAUAUUUAUAUCUAUCUCCAUAUAUCAAAACCUAAUUUUAUAACAUGAUAAGAAAAAAAAAA